GACUCGGCAGGGGCAACAACAUCCUCGCCAGCUUCCCAAAGGAGUGGCCGCUCUUCUCCUACAUCAUCGAUGGCGAUCUUCAAGGCAGCACGGUCUGGCUUGCCCACAACGCGUUCUUGGCCCGGAGAGCGACGGCGGCGCGAGCCGGUAGCAGGAGCAUCACCCUAUUCGGCCCCGUCGGCUCCAACAAUAGCACCUACUCCGUCAAGGUCACCGGCAUCAAGGUCGGCGGCGGCGAGGUCGCCAGCGAGGCGGCCACCGGAAUCUUGACGACCACCAUGCCGUUCACGUUCCUCAAUUCGUCUCUCUUCGACCACCUCAAGCAGGAGCUCAAGGCGGUGGCGUCACCGGUCAAUGGCUCCGUCCGAUUCGGGCAGCUGUGCUACCCGAACGGCACGAAGUUACCGGCGAUCACGCUGUUGUUCGUCGGCGAGAACGCCGGGAUGGAGCUGCAGCCGGAGCACUACUCGUACAAGAAGAGCAACGGGGUCGUGUGCCUGUCCAUCCUGCCGUCGCCGUGGUCCAACGGCUUGUCGGUCAUCGGCAGCAUGGUGCAGGCGGGCAGGCAGAUGACCUACAAACUGGACGACAACACGUUGACGUUCGACGACGCCGCGUCGGCGUCCUCCAAGCCGUCGCCGUCUACUUCUUCGUCGGUGGCCCAGGCGCCGUUGACGCCCUUCUGUCUGUCUCCUGCUUUCGCGGUGCUGCUGCUCGCCAUCAUCAUGUGAAGCUAAUUAUUAGUAAGAGGGAGACCCGGAUUGGCCAGCCGGCGACCAUGAUUCAAACCCCGCGGUGCCACUGUCACCACUAGUAAUAUUGUUGUACUGAUAUGCUUUCUACUCAGAUGUCGUUGUCGACAUUUUGUUUUAAAAUACUGCCAUGCAAAUGUCUUUUUUGAAGUAAAAAAAAGAGUCAUGCAAAUCUCAAAUAGCAGAAGUGAAAAGAUAAACGUUUUUUCUAUUCUAUCUCUUAUAUAAAUUUUAUUUUAAAAUAUCCAAAUAUACAAGUAUAUAUGGUGCAAAGGGAUUAAUUUGUAUAGUACGUAGAUCCAUUUAUCUAAUUUUUAUCCAGCUGACCAGCUCAAAGCGGCUUUCACUACUGGUCCUCUCGGACCUCUCCACCAGACCUCCACCCAACCAUCUUUUUUUUUAAGACUAAUUGAGGCCAAAAGCUAUUUCCCUGUCAAGCUGGCAACUGUUCGAGUCGGGGCGACGAGCAAGUUGCUAGCACGAGGACGACACAGGGUUCAGGGUUGGCUUGGAAAUUAGCGAGGGGGCGAGGGAUCUGCUCGCAGCCUCGCACGCGCGUCAUGGGCGCGACCCCGCAGGAACUGAACCUGGGCAAGUGUGCACGCGUUUCGACUUUGGGUCGUCUGCAUCAGAACGGCAACCGGAAGCUAUUCCAGUUUGCCCCUCGUCUGAAGAUGCUGGACGCAGAGGUAAACCGGAACAAUCUUUGACUGCUUUAUCCGGAAACCUUUAUCCGGGCUUUUUGGGGUGGCAGCAUCUCAGUCCAAUCAAAGCGUUUCGCUGUCCAUGCGUUCCUUUGUGUUUUGAUUACUUUCGCUCCGCUGCCUGUAGAGAAUUUUUAGACAUCCGCUUUCCCACGGUUCGGCAAUGCAAAGCUCGCCAAUGUUCUUGGAAGUUUGCACAGUCUAAACCCUUUUCUCGACGAAGAAGCACUGGUCCCUAUCGCGUUGAACUGGCCGGCCACGUCGCAUCCUUGGACUCGCUGAUCACACGCCACAGUCCGUGUACGCAUUGGAUCGACUGUUGGGUGAUUGGGCGGUCGCAGAGAGAAACUUUCAUCAACGCACAGCGCACAGUCGAAGAGCUCAUCUACAUCUAGAUCGCGCUCUGGUCCUGUCUGAGCAGUGCCGAACGAGCUCCGCGUAGUGCGUACGUAACAGGUGUGUGGCGAUCCUGGCCUCACGUUGACAGGACGGGCGAAAGGUCGUCGUCGGCGAGCUGAUGUGAGGGCAUGGGCGGACCAGGAAAGGGACCUCUGUGCAAGGGGCAGAAAGGAGGCGCUGUUCCUGUCGAAAGCAGCAAGCCAGCAAGCACCUCGGCGUCGCAGCUUGCGAGCAUCCGGAAACUGACGAGAUGGGCUUGCUGUGCUGGCUCUUCGUACGUGGACUCAUGUACAUGACCGGACAAUAACAUGGGUCCAGCUCGCUGUAGGUCCCAACUGAGAAAUAGGGCAACUCAAACAAGAAAAACAUCUGUUUACCAGAAGCACCAGCACUCAUUUACUUCUAGUUCGUGCCUAUUGUCCUUUUGGUCCUCUUUUUCUUGAGGAAAAUGACAUGAUUUUUUUUUUGAAAUUACGGGACUUUAGAUCAUUUCUCACAAGCUCCGUGAAAUCUGGUGCAACACGGUGAAGUGAUUAAUGUGGGGUUCACUGAUACUAUAGCUAGAAAAAAAAACAAAACACACACACACAAGCGACAUCUGUGUUAGUGGCAAGAUUUAAAAAAAAAACAGGAGAAUCUAACAAGCAACAUGGUUGAAGCGAUGAAUGAUCAUACCCUAACUUUUUUUCCCUCGAAUACCCAGAAGACGGCACAUCAUUGCAUUAAAAAGAAUAUAUAGAGCACAAAACACACACACAACACACCACUAAAGAAAACAAAAAUGACCCGUGACUUCUCCCUUUAAAGUUAAACCUCGACUAUGGCUGUGCCAACCAUGGGACCAGCCAUGACUCAAAGUUGGACCUCAUCCUUAAUAAUCUGAACGACCCUUUGCAAGCGGUGAUACCCGAUGUUUCCAAAAUAUCCGAGCCCCCAAGGAGUUCAAACCAGCCUUCAUAGAACUUGCCACUAACUUAAUAGCUCCAGACCACCGAUCAAAGAACUGCAUGAUGUAGGGGUGACAGGUCGGGGAGACCAAACAGUAUAAACAAGAGUGACCAGACUUCUCUUGAGAAGAUACAGGAGACUAUGAUGCGGUGGAUUAUCCCAUCUUCCUGGUCACAGAGCAGGCAACGCUCUGGAUGUGGUAGUUCCCAUCGUGCUAGGCAGUCAGCAGUCCAACAUUGACUAUGGGCUACUAACCAGAGGAAGAAUUGGCUGUAAUGACCAUGACUAGUAUUGAUAAUAAGUAACCAUCAUCACGCAAACUCCAAAAGCCACAUACCAAGACAUGUAUCUGUAUCCGGUAUCCGGUACAUGGUGGAUACAUCACAGAUACAUAAGUAUUGGGAAAACAAAGAUUUUAAUUGCUGACACAUAUUCGGCACUUGCUUGGUGGAUACUUCAUGGAUAAAGCCCCGCCGCCUAGCCACAACCUAAAACUUAACGACAAUAAGACUAAGGGGCUGUUUGACACCGGUAACUAACUUUAGCCCUAUCACGUUGGAUGUCGGAUGCUAAUUAGGAGGACUAAAUAUGAAUUAAUUAUAAAACUAAUUGUAUAACCCCUAGGCUAAUUCGCGAGAUGAAUCUAUUAAGUCUAAUUAAUCCAUCAUUAGCAAAUAGUUACUGUAGCACCACAUUGUCAAAUCAUGGACUAAUUAGACUUAAUAAAUUUAUCUUACGAAUUAACCUCCGUCUGUGUAAUUAGUUUUAUAAUUAGACUAUAUUUAAUACUUCUAAUUAAUAUAUGAAAGUUAGCCCCUGUCAGGCAAACAGGUCCUAGCACAGCACGUCUUGGAACUCACGUAAGCCAGACCAAACCACCGCACGCUUCCCCUUACUACUGCUGGGUGACCCCUACCGCCUCACGUAAGCCAGACCAGACCACCGCACGCUUCCCCUUACUACUGCUGGGUGACCCCUACCGCCCCGACUCAUCAGUGAGUACAUCCGGUCAUCCCCAUUUAUUAAGACAGAGAACAAGUGCAAAUUCUUCGCUUGGGCAAUGAUACAAAUUUUUUUUCCCAAAGCAGGCAUUCUAAAUGUCAAGGGAUGGCCUCAUCAGCCGCAUUGCCCACUUUGGGCCUGUUUGUUUCCACCCUCCUAAAGUUUUAGCUCCUAAAAGUUUUUAGGCACCUCCUAAAAGUAUGUUUGGUUCCACCUCCUAAAAGUGACUAAAGGCAAUUAAUGAAGUGUAAAAUACCCAAGAUGCCCUUCCUCCAUGCCCCUGCAUGCCCCUCUACCGGCGCCGCACCGCCCCUCCGCCGGCGCUAGGCUCGUCUGUUGCCGGCCCCUGCACUGCCCCUCCGCCGACUCCGCCCCCUCCCUUCAAAUCCCAGCCGCCGCGCCCCUCCCCUCCUCUUCUUCCCCGGCACCGCCGCCCCCCUCCCGUUCCUCCCUCGCCCGGAUCCGGCGACGGGGGAUCUGGCGGGGGAGCGCCCGGCCGGCCCGUGCAGCGGCGCAAGGGAGCGGGGGCGGCGGGGGUAGGGGUGCCGUGCGGCGGCGGCGGGCGGCGGGAAGGACGCCGCUGGCGGGGGCCGAACGGGGGAAGACGCCGGUGGCGGGCGGAAUGCGGGGGCCUAGGCAGGAGGGAGGGUGAGAGAGAGAGAGGAGGACAAUAAAUGAGGGCAAUGGGGUUCAGGAUGGGCUUUAGGAGGUUUUAGGAGGGGUGGAGCUCCUAAAGAAAUUGAAGCCUCCUAAAAGUUUUUAGUCACUUUUAGUCAGUGUUUGGUUCUUUAGUCACUUUUUAAUCACUUUUUAGGAGCUAACAUUUUAGGAGGGUGGAAACAAAUAGACCUUUGCCGUAGCCGUCCAGAGACCAACUUUCGCUACUAUGCCCUUUCGCCAAAGUUUGUAUGGGAAACAGUAGCCAUGGCCCGAUGGGGGCCUUUGGUGAAUUUGAGACGCUUGGCUGUUUUGGCUCAUUAAAAUGAAAGCUUUGGAAAAGAGAAAAAUGGCCUAAUCACAAGCUAAUUUUUUUAUUCAUACUAUGCUUUAGUAUUCGCAUUUCAAAAAAAUACCAAAACAUAUCUGUGUCUUGGAUAUUUCUGGAAAAUAGUGUAUCCGUGUAUCCAUAUCUUCGCUGCAUAGGAUGACAGUUUGCAUGAUAAUUUAAUGACGUCGGAUUUUAAAUAGCCCAGCUUGACUCACCUUCUGAAUAACUUGUAGAGGAUAUGGAAAGCUCCUGAUUCUUGUCCCUCUCCCCACUUGAGCUACCUAAAAUAUAAAAAAAAGGAAAGAAGAAUAAACAUAACUCAAACAAUGGAAUGCGCUAUCAAGAGCAUUAGCAGUAGAUUCUCAUACACAACCAUGUAUUUACAAUGAACCAAUUUCGACAAAACGUUAUUACUCGUGUGCGUGUAGGCACAAUUACGCGUGAAACAGAGGCCUAGUGCUUUGUUUAGGCCCUAGGCGGUAAAUUAAUAGCGCAAGCGGGCACAAGCACAGGCACACGUUCUGGAGAGGCGGGGAGAAAGAGUGCAGGAGACGUGGGGAGAAGAGUGCGGGGGCAUGGGCGAUGGAUAACCGAAAAGAGUUGCUCGGCGCACAGAAAGAAUUACGGUAAUGGCAUGGCUCGACGCGUCAGACGCUUAUCACUAAAAAUAUCUGGCACGGAUCCUACAAACACCUUCUCUCUUUCCACCUUAUCCUUUCUCUCCUACAAUUCUUCCUUAUCCUUUCAUCUAGGGAAAAAUCACCCGCACCACUCACUCUCUCUGCCGCGCAGUUCAUGCGAGCAUGGGCGCGCUGCGGGGCCGCGCCGGCAGGCAUGGGCGCGCGAGGCCAGCGACGGCAGCGGUGCGUGGUGGUGAGGCCAACGGCGGCACCUACUGGCGAUGCGGGCACAGGUUGCGGCGGCGGUCGGCAGGCGUGGGGCUGGGAAAGAAUCCAUGGUAGCUGCUAUCGUACUCUAGGAGGAGGAAGAUUCCACCGCGGCCAGGGGCGAGCCGCGCCGGCCGCCGCCAUCCUCCUCCUCCUCCACCACCGUUUCCUAGGAUCCUGGUGUGCAGUGCUUCUCGUGCCAGGGUUUGCUGCAUGUUGCAAGCGUAUGUUUCAAGUGUUUUAGAUGUUUCAGAAGAAUGUUGCAAGUGUUUCAUGUGGAUGUUGCAAAGUAGAUCUAGAUGUUGCGAUAUUGUACAUGUUUCACACACAUGUUGCAAGUGUUUUAUCUGAAUGUUGCAUUUUCAAUGAGAGAUUUAAAUGUUCCAUGCAACACGAAACAGAUGUUGCAGCGGGUUUUUUUCCUCAUCAUCAACAGAUGGCUAAUAAAUUUUUUUCAACAUAUUUUUUGAUAUUGCAAAUGGUGGUUUUAUAUGUUGCAAAUAUUUAUUUUUUAUGUUGUAGACAUUAUUUUUUGAUGUUGUGAUGGACCAACGGAGCGUCCGAUAGACAUCCGGGCACAAGCAACGCCCUCCAUCCCCUUGGUGACCCAGUGCGCCGCGCCGCCGACCCUGACGAGGCCGGCGCCGAGGCAGCAGCUCGCGCCGGGGACGGGGACGUCGCGCCACGCCGCGGCCCCCAGCGUGAACGCCUGCAGCACGUUGAAGCCCGCGGUCGCGUCGCCGCGGCACGGGAGGUGAAGGAUCUUGUACGCCCCCGUCGCCGGGUGGAACCCGAAGGUGUACCUCUUCCCGCUGCCGUAGCCGUGCAGCCCGCGGUACGAGACGGGGAGCGGCGGGACGCGCAGCGUCUCGCCGGUGGCCGGGUUCAGCAACGCGACCCUCCCGCCGGGCUUCCUGUUGUCGCACAGGCACAGCAGGCCGUUGCACGUGCCGACCGCCGUCACGUCGAUCCACCUCCCCGUGGCGGUGCCGGCGGUGACCCCCCACACCUCUCUGCCCCACCCGUGCUCGAGGUCGUUGACGACGUACGCUGAAGCUGACCUGGUGCUCGUGAAGAAGGCGAGCACCUUGGGCGGCGGGCUCCGCGGCGUCCGCUGGUCGAUGAUGUCGCGCCAGUGCCGGCAUACGAGCCGGGCCCAGCGCCGGCAGCUCGGCGGCAGGCGCAUCAGGAUCUCCACGAAGGCGUCCGUAUGGAGGCUCAAGCCCUCAUCCACUUCGCCGUCGGUAGGCGGCGCCGUCGCCAUUGGCAACGCAUGCACCUUGCAGUUUGCACGGCCUCACUUUUGUGUUUUCUCUCCCGUUUCGCUUAGCCGAGAUAUGUUAGCCGGAGCAAACUUGAGGGCCAAGGAGGCAAAUAAGGAACUCACUCCCCAAGAUCAGGGAUGCCGGGUUGCUAGGAACAAACUCUGAUUCAAGGUCAAAAUUCCAAAUUUAGAAAACGUGCGUAGCGUACGCGUUCCGUCGGUAGGAGUAUACGAUUGUUACGAUAUCAGGGAAACCGUGGGCGCCACCAAAGUGUAAGUUCUUCAGCUGGCUGGCGAUCCAGGACAGAAUAUGGACAGCGGACCUGUUGCAACAUCGGGGAUGGCCAAGCAAUCCAAAUUGUGCUCUCUGUGAAGCAACUCAAGAGACGGGGCUGCAUAUGUUCACCGAAUGCAAUUACACAAGGAAUGUUUGGACUCAACUAAGUGCGUGGACGAGGUGCCCGGCAAUAGACCCGGAAUGCUGGACUCCACAUGACGCCCUGCAUGACUGGUGGACUGCAUUAGCAGGCGCGCAGGUCGUUGACAAAAAAAGGCUUGAGAUCUCUCAUCAUCUUAGUAUUGUGGGAGGUUUGGAAAGAGCGCAAUGCGCGGGUUUUCCAUCAUCAGGAACAAUCCAUCCCCCGCUUAGUGGCCCGGAUAAGGGACGAGGCAACCACGUGGGUGGCGGCAGGUGCUAAGCACCUGGAGCGGUUUCUUGACGCCGCAAGGCGUAAUUGAGUGUAUAUAGGGGUGUCUGUUCCUUUAUUUCUCCAGCCCGCGAGGUAAGUUUGCAGUGUGCAGCAUGUAAAGUUUUCUAGUUUGUUUCGUCCUUCGGGCAUUCUCCUUUAUUAAUAAAGUGGCAGCUCUACUGCCAACUCGUUUCAAACCAGCCCGCUGGUGGACGGUUUGCUUGGGCCUAACUGGUUUCCGUUGUUUGUGGAGGGACUGGUUGAGUGGUUUAGUUGGGACGGUUCUACCGUUCGAAUGGUUUAGAAGUUUACAGCUGGGCCUGGCCGUCAGCGCCGACAGGCCGGCGCCGGCAAAGACCGAGGUCUGGGUCCUCGGGGACGGCGGAGGCGGCCGGCGGGGGUGGACCCGCCGGUACAGCGUGCGGGUGCAGGGGGUGGAGGGGCAGCUCGCGGCGCCGCACUUUGCGCACGGCGGCGAGUACGUGCUGACCGUGCAGUCGACGGAGUGGGGGCGGAAUCACUUGCACGCGCACAGGAUGCGUGACGCGGGGAGGAGGUUGCAGAGCGGCGACCGGCGAGGUGCGGUCCGUGCGGAUCAGGGAGCCAGGAACGGCGGUGGCCCACAUCAAGGACGCCUACUGCCUUCGGACGUUCGCCUACGUCGAGACCACGGAGCCGUUGAGUGUUUACACGACAGAUCACAGACGAAGGGUCCAUCGACAAAUGAAAUCGUGUCGUUGAUGUUUGCUUUAAAAAAAAAAUCUUUCCUGCGGUUUAUUCGGUGGUUCGAGACUUUGAUUUGCUGGUGGUGACAGCAGCGAAUUGUUCGAUUUUAAAUUUUAAAUUGCUCCGUUUUAAAUUUGCUGGAAGUAAAGCUUUCUGAAACCGCACGCUGAAUCAAUGUCCGUUUUGGGUUGGUGCGGUGCGCCAAUGCCGGUUUCCAAAAUAGACGUAACGCUGAUCCAUCGUCUUCCUCGCUUCUACAAAUGGUGAGCCGCUAUCCUUCGGCGAUGGCACAGCUAACGCAGGUAGCAACUGUGCAGAGCGCUGCCCUGCUGGUAGAUCGUGCACUGCUCCCAGUACCGCGGCAAUGGCGAACGGUUCGUCGACCUGCUGCCUCCUCGUCCUCGCCGUCGCGCACGCCGCGGCGGCGGCGGCGGCGGCGGCCACAACGGGCGCCCCGGCGCCAGAGGCGCCUGCGCGCGCGCGCCGGCUCUUGCCCCUCGGCUCCAGCCUGCCGCCCGCGACAGCAGAAGCCGGCGCGGCCGCGGCCGCCUGCGUGCAGUCCGUCCUGGAGGCGUCCGGGCCCUGCGCGCGCGACGUCCUCGAGACGCUCGUCUUCAAGACCGCGCGCCUCAGCACGGACUGCUGCCGGGUGCUCGCCGGGGUCGGCGAGGAGUGCGUCGCCGCGGUGUUCUCCGGCGCCUCCGUGGGCCCCCCGCUGCUUCCCGUCGUCAACCGCGUCUGCGGCUUGGUCGCCCUCGCCAGCAAUGGAUAGCUAGCUAGCUAGCGGAGUUAACAGGACUGAAGAAUGUAGUACCGCUACCACCGUAUCAACGGUCUAUGUGUGACAGAUCCAAGCAUAAUGCGUAUUUAGUUGCAUGCACUACAUGAUACAUGUAUAGAUAAUUUUGGAUGGUGCGGUUCAAACAAUUUACUUUGAAUGUGUUGGUAAAAUUUAUUCAACCGAACAAAAAAAUCAUAUUAUUUUAAAUCAUUUCAUACAUGAAUUAAAUGAUCCAAACAACCAACCAAACACAUCCAUAUUGUAUUGUGUCGUUUUGAUUUAGAGGGUGAUAAACUAAUUUACACCUCGGUAGCUUGAACAAAAGAGAUGUUAUUUUUCAGCCACCAAGGACGUGAUUGGUUGGUUGGCAACCUGCCUAUUCAAUUCCAUCCUUCAUCCGAGUUGCACAGCUACGUAGACGUUCCAUUAGCCUGUUCGCUUCAGCUUAUAAGCCAGCUGAAACGGCUGAUUUGUUGUGAGAGAAAAAUACUAUUUGGUGGCUGAUAAGCCGGCUGAAUAAGCUGAAGCGAACAUGCCGCAUGUCACCAGGCUACAUGUAAAACCAUAGUAAAUGUCAUACAUGCUCUUCAUUCUACUUAACCCCUCUUCCCCGCGGGUCCUGAUUUUUGAAGCCGCCGCCGCCGGUGGUAUCCCCUGGCGUGGGCACCCUGCUCUUAGGGCCUUAGGGGUUUGAUGCUCGUACUUAAAUCACACGGAUCCUCCACAUCUGCGCAUUGCAAGGACCUCCUUCCUGCAUGCAUAUAGACCAGCUGCAAGCCAAUCUUAGAUAAACCAUGACGGCAUGUAAUCCCUGUCGUAACCACCCUGCCUUUUGUGUGCUCGCCGAGCAGCCGCUCGAGCUAUUAAAAACAAGUGAAUUCAACUUGGAAUCAUUAAACGAAUUAUAGAAAGGAAUCAAUUUGAAUACCAAUAAAACUCUCAAAUUCCAAAUAUGGGAAAAAUUGAUGCCUAACCUCCAUCUCUACAUGCAUGCGGUCGGAUUUUCUCACCACCAUGUGUUCUUCCUUCCCUACCUAGCAUCGAUCUGUUCUUGUGACAGCCAGCGCAAGCCAUCGGCGCUCUCCAUUUUGGAGGCGGAUGGACUAGCUACGAUGGAGGCGGAAGGGGAAAUGAAAGGAGAGCUGGCUGCACGUGAAAACGAGAAGCUCGUUUAAGUGGUGGACCCAUAAGUUAAAAGGGCAAAGGGCAGUAUGGACUUUUAACAUGUGUAACAAAACCCUAACACGCGACCAAAUGACGUGAAAUGCCAACGUAUCUGUCUAGCUCGGACGAAGGACGAAAUUGACUAAACAGGUAAAGUUGAUGAACUAAAUUGAACAUACCUAUAAGCAAAAAUUUAGAGAUGAUUACGCCUAUUUUACCUAUAACAAACUCUACAUGGAAUCAGAGCGGUCAAAGUGCCGAGCUAUAAUUCAUUUAUGAAUCCACGUGGCCAUGCAUUAUGCCACUCAUCAAACAAACAAAUAAGAGAUUAACAGUUACCCUCACCGUCUAUUCGCAGUUCUUAUUACGGUUCCUGAUUAAAAAUGAAUGCGUUUGAGGGGUUUUCUCCGAAUGCAGUGUACUGAAACAUUUAAAAAAGUCGGGUGGAGCAUACACCGUGCACGUGUCUUUGCGCGACACGCAAGCCGCGCACCCACCGGCGACCAUUCCGCCGCUGCGCUGUGCAACAUUUCGCGAAAGGCGAGUCGUUAAUUAAAGUCGAAAAAUAUAAUCCGGACAGCGACGCCCAUCCCUUUCCCCCAACCAAAGCCAAAGCCUCCACCUCUCCUCCCUUCCCCUUCCCCCCGCAUCGGCGGAGAACCAGGCCACCUCCCCCCCACCCCAAUCCUCCACUCCCCCCACUCCCCCAAUCCCCCCCCCCCCCCCCCCCCCCCCCCCCCCCCCCCCCCCCCCCCCCCCGAAACCCUAGCAAUGGAGCCCAAAUCCACCACCCCGCCCCCCGUCAUGGGAGCGCCCGUCGCGUACCCUCCGCCGCCCGCCGCCGCGUACCCCGCGGGCCCCUACGCCCACGCGCCGGCGGCCGCGCUCUACCCUCCGCCGCCGCCGCCUCCCCCGCCCCACCCCGCCGCCGCAUCCGCCGCGGCGGGACAGCUGGGCCCCGCGGCGCAGCAGCAGCUGCAGAUCUUCUGGAACGAGCAGUACCGCGAGAUCGAGGCCACCACCGACUUCAAGAACCACAACCUGCCCCUGGCGCGCAUCAAGAAGAUCAUGAAGGCCGACGAGGACGUCCGCAUGAUCGCCGCCGAGGCGCCCGUCGUCUUCGCCCGCGCCUGCGAGAUGUUCAUCCUCGAGCUCACCCACCGCGGCUGGGCGCACGCCGAGGAGAACAAGCGCCGCACGCUGCAGAAGUCCGACAUCGCCGCCGCCGUCGCGCGCACCGAGGUCUUCGACUUCCUCGUCGACAUCGUGCCGAGGGACGAGGCCAAGGACGCCGAGGCCGCCGCGGCUGCCGGCAUGGGGGCGGGGAUCCCGCACCCCGGCGCCGGCAUGCCCGCCACCGACCCCAUGGGCUACUACUACGUCCAGCCGCAGUAAAACCAUUGCCCAUCCCGUAUCUUUUACUAGUAGCUUCGAUCGAGCCUUGCGAGUUUUAGUAAAUUAUUGAGAGUGCGCUGAGCUCUGCUGUUUCCCUUGUUCUGUUGUUUGCCGCCUAAUAACUCUAAGAUGGCGUGAUGAUCAUCUGAUGUGCCCCCUCUUGAGUACAAGUAGUGAUAUUCGAUUCAGAUUUGGGAGAGGGAACUGGUUGUAGUUGGGAGAGGGAGGCUGUAUGAUGGUGAUGAUUCAUGCGUGACAGAUACUCCUUCCAUAUUUAUUAAUCGUGUGCUACUCCCUGAUUAUUGUGAUGCUUCAUCUUGUCCAUCUCAGACUGCCAUGAAAUGUUUGUAUUACUAUAAAUUCCUGAAGCUAUAGUUGUGUUAUGUCAUUAUGUUCUUUAGAUUUGCUUGUUUGUCAAUUGCAGCCCAGAAGAGUUCUGUGUAAUUUGGAGCUCUGUCUGUACAGGUUUAAAUACUUUUCCAUUUUCUGUGCAUUAGUCAAUCCUUUGGUUUGUGUAUAAUGAAUAUCAUGCUUUCCCUUGGAGUAAUUUCAGGGUGGUGGUGUUUUACCAAAUUUUCAGAAUGUGGUUGUAUAUACUGUUUCUCCUGGGAAUAGUUUCAGGCCAACUCUUUGCCAAAUUUCCAGAGUAUGGACGGGUUGCAAUUUUCUGUAUGAUGCAAUAACCCCUGCACUUUGUGGUAGCUAUGCUCACGAAAGUUAACUUGCAGCAGACGUGUGUGCGUGCCCGAGCAUUUCACUUUGCGAUACAAACUUCUGACAUUUCCUAUUGCUGUUUUCUACUUACUUUAAAGUUGCUGUCUCUCUGAAUCUAGAGGGGACUUGAAUGAAAUAAACUUAUGGCCUUUUUCUGGAAAACAGACUACUGGACCCUGAUAAUUUAUCUGGAUAACCGUUCCUUGUAUAGCCAAUAGCCGCUUAGUAAAACAUUUUCAUACAGAAUUCUGCAAGCUCUGCAUAUCCAUGGUUUACUUGACUCCUGUAUUACUGUGAGAUUGUGAAUAUAUGCUGCUAUACUGGACUUGGGGAGCAGAAAUGGGGUCUCUUCAAUUUUAUUUUGCUUAAGUUGGCUCGAUGUAUUUUAUUUUUAUUAUGCUGAAAUGUGACCAUCUUAAGCUAAGUAUUUGCUGCAAACACACGCGAUCGUUUUAGUUGCUUCUUAAUGGAAUAAUCAUGAUUAGCACUAAUAUUCCACCGUUCACGUGGUACCUCUCACUUUCAGAGCUGAAAAUCUAAUUGAUCGUACUCUCAGCUUGUCUAACAACUAUCAGAGCAUCGAAAUCGUAAUUUCAAGAUUCUUGUCUACGGGUAGACUAGAUAAAAAUCGAUGCUCGCCUUAAAUCCAGGUAUUUGGUUGCUGAUGCUCCAUUGAUUUGUUGGAAACAUGGAAUGCUGGUUUGCAGCAAAAUUUGGUGUGCCACUGCUGGAGGACGAUGAAAUGACCUGCCGUCGUGGAAUUUCUGAAUCUAGAAAAGACUGGGUCAUGUUUGUCAUCAGGCCGGGGCUCAUAAGUCAUAGAAAGAUGACACCAGUCCCCAAAAGUGUUUUAGCGAAUUGAUCUGGAGCCGAUACAAUUUACGGUUUUAGGUGUGAGAACCCUGAUCACUUUUGCAAGGAGAAUCACUUUUGAAUGGGCUGAAAAUGCACAGAUUUUUCAUGCUAGAAGGCCCAAGAACAUACAACUCAAGCUCCAGCUACUGUAAAAAUUACCACAAAAGAAUGCGCCCUUCAAUCAUUUCAGGGCAGGGAAAAAGAAUUUACUACGAUGUUAAGCCUGUUAUUGCCUUGUAGCACUAUCUUCCUGGGCUCGGGGGUCUCUCUUUGCAAGGGAGCACAAGUAGUGAUCUGUCCCCGAUGCAGCGAUGAACACUCUGCAAUUUCCCUCUUCCGUUUUCCCAGAUCUGCUCAAGAAGCUGGCGUCCCUGCAAACAAGCAGGCAGAACUGCGUCCAUAAGAAGUUGGGACUCUUAACAUGUACGAUUCCAAUUUUUCUGUUACUGAAUUGCAGAAAACACGUCAUGCUAACUAAAAAGUUCUUGGUUCUGAAUUUUACUUAUUGGAUAUUUUGAUGUGAAAUUACCAUAAAUUUUACUUCAAAAUUUGACGAGGAAUUGAGCGAAAACGAAGUUAUAAGGGGAAGGGAAACUGGAAGGAACUGGGUAGGUUCAGAAUUCACCCCACAUUUUGGCGUUCAUUCUACGCGCACAGGAUGAACUUGCCGGAGGGCAACGCGGCGGCGGCGGCGGCAAGCAGGCAGGCGGUGACGACGUUCUGCUGGCACCACCGGAGCGGCGCCCAUGCUCCGGCGCCCUCGACGCUGGCGCACUUGGCCCUCGUCACCCCGUACUGCGGCUCCUUGGACAGGUCGAACGCCGCGCCCUUCAUGCGCAGCUCCUGCACGGCGCGCGCCAGCGCCCGCGCGUCGCCGCGCUCCCGGCGCAGCCGCGCGGCGGCGCGCCAGUAGGCGCACACCCGGAGCUGCACGGCCGCGGCGAGCGCGAGGGACGCCGCCAGGGACAGCGACGAUGGCGCCCACCACCUCCUGCACGCGGCGCUCGCCUGGCCGCCGCCGCCGUCGGCGGCGGCGGCGGCCACGGACGCGGCGAAGAGGAGCGCGAGGGAGAGGCCGUGGAAGGCGAGGAAGGCCGCGCAGAGGUAGAAUGCGUCCCGGCGCGCCGCGUCCAUGCGCGACUCCAGCGCGCACGCGCGGCGGCCCAGGCGGUCCUCCUCCCGCUGCCACAGCUUGAGCAGGAGCAGGUGGCCCGCGCUCGCCGCGAUCUCCCCGAGCGGGUGGGCCCCGCCUGCCUCCACCUCCGCCGUCGUCUUGUCGAGGGACGCGGCUGCCUCCGCCUCGCCCCCGUCGACGGAGACAGGGAUCUCCACGAUGUGGGCGUCGUUCUUGGCCGGCUCCGCCAUGGCAGCAAGGUUUCUUGUCCAAGAACGGGAUCUAUGUGGGGGGAGGAAACAGGGAAAGGGGCGGUCUCUUGGGGAAAGAUCUGAGUUCGAUGUGAGAUUGGAGUUGGGAAAGGGGAAGCGGAGAUGGCAAGAUGGGGUUGGAAGCACGCUGAUCUCUGGGUUGGGAGGAUUGGGCGCGGCGCCGGCGCGGCUUAAGGCCAAGCGGAUUGCGCUGCGUCCAACGGUCGGGUGGCCGAGCGCUUUUGGGAAGGAGGUAGGCAACGGUCAGAAUCAGAUCCUGUGCGGGCCUGGAAUUUUCGGCGGAUCGCAAGGGCCUGAGAAGUUGGGCCACAAAGUGCAGGACACAAGUCACUAUGGUCGGCCCAUAAUCAGAAGGUCCCAAACACGAGCGCAGGCCCAAAACUUCUACCAGAAACGCCGUCCACGGCGCAAUAUUCCCUUCCGUCCGAGUGUGACGUCGGGGAAAUCAAGAGCGCGUAAGCAUCCGAUGCGCUCGGCAUCCGCGGCGGAUAACUCCGGCGAGGCGGCGACAGCGCGAUUCUGCGGGCACGGCGGAUGUCACGCCCAAGAUUAUAUUCUCCGGCGGGCCUCCUCAAGUGCAUCGGCGCUCGGCAGCACCGGGCAUGUCGUGGCCGCUCUGUUAUCUGUCACCGUCACCCCUCCGGCUCCAUGGCAAACACCGCUGGCAAACCUUCGCGCAGGAGCCGAGCAACAAACGCAGGUGCUUCCCGGCCUCGCGAUCGUAUAUAAGUACCCGCCUGCCGCGCCGCCUUGUUCCCACGCAAGCACGGGAGACGCGGCUGCCUGACUCUGCUUCCGGUUCCAUGGCGCGCUUCGCUGCCGUUCUCCUCGCCGCCGCCGCCCUGCUAGCGGUAAUCACCGGAGAAUUCACUGGUCAACGCGCGUGUUUUAUUUCUCUUGAUGUAUAGUUCAAGCAUGUAACUAGAAAGAACGCGUUUACGUGUCUCUUCUCGGGUUCAGGCUGGACGGCUGAGCCAUGCGGCGCCGUCGACGGCCGAGGUGUUCUGGCGCGCCGUCCUGCCGGGCUCCGCCGUGCCGGACGCCGUUCUCCGGUUCCUCCGCCCCGGUCGGUUCUCCUCCCCCCUUCGUUAAUUUUUACCUGACCUCCAUCACACACGAAUGCAGUAUGCGCCUCUGAAGGGAAUGUGCAGUGCACGGUUCAUGGUCAUGGUGACAUGGUCUCUCAUGGAUGGUGCAGACAGCUUCGUAAGCAAAGCCGAGGCGGAGGACGCGGAUCGGUCAAACUCUCCGUUUGAUUACCAGAACUACGAGCGCUCAUCUGCACCGUACGGCUACGACUACAAGGCGCCGGACAAGGGCGCCGCGGGCGGCGGCGGCGCCAGAGACGACACGCCGUUCGGCUACGACUACAAGGCACCGAGCAAGGCCGCCGCGGACGGCGGUGGCUCCAGAGCCGACACGCCGUUCGGCUACGACUACAAGGCGCCCGGCGGGCACCGCCACGCAGGCGGCGACGCGCCGGCGUCGGCGACGACGACGGUGUUCUUCCACGAGGAGGCGGUGCGCGUGGGCGAGCGCCUGGCGUUCCGCUUCCCUGCCGCGUCGCCCGCGCCGCUCGGGCUCCUGCCGCGCCACAUCGCGGACGCCAUACCGUUCGCGGCGCCGUCGCUGCCGGCCGUCCUCGCGCUGCUCGGCGUCGCCCCGGGCUCCGCGCAGGCCGCCGCCAUGGCGAGGACGCUGCGCGCGUGCGAGACGCCGCCGCUCGCCGGGGAUCCCAAGUUCUGCGCCACGUCGCUGGAGGCGCUGGUCAAGGGCGCCGUGGCGGCGCUGGGCACGCGCGACGUCCGGGCGGUGACCUCCACUCUGCCCCGCGCCGGCGCGCCUCUGCAGCCGUACACCGUCCGCGCCGUGCGCCGCGUCGGCGGCGCCGGCUUCGUGGCGUGCCACGACGAGGCGUACCCGUACACCGUGUACCGGUGCCACGGCACCGGCCCGGCCAGGGCGUACAUGGUGGAGAUGGAGGGCACCCGCGGGGGCGCGGUCACCGUGGCCACCGUCUGCCACACCGACACGUCCCGGUGGAACCCGGAGCACGUCUCCUUCAAGCUCCUCGGCACCAAGCCCGGCGGCGCGCCGAUCUGCCACCUCAUGCCGUACGGGCACAUCAUCUGGGCCAAUAACGAGAAGCGCUCGCCGGCUUAAGGAGCGGAGCACCAUUCUGCCGUAGUAUUUCUGAUCGAUGCCGUAUCUAUUUUAUGUGUUGUUGUUCAUGCCACCUAGUCUGUCUGCUCUUGUACCUCUGCAGUUCGUGGUCAGUACUCACUACUCACUAGAGCAGCGUCUGCAAUAAAAGGACUGAUAGUGCUUUGCAUUUACACGAACACUUCGUGUUAAUCUACUGUUGAACCAAGGCCACAGUACCACACUAUGAUUGUCAUUUUCUGCAUAUAUUGGUAAACGUGUUAAGACUAGAGACAGACUGAAACUGAAUAGGUAAAGGUCAAGGAACUACAAAUGAUUGUUACAACUUAAAUAGAGAAUGGGAAACAUGGAUUAAUGUGAAAUUACAUAGCACCCAUGCCCAGAAAAUCCUGUAGUUGAUCUAGUGUAGCAAAGAUGGCAAUGUACCAUUAAGAGAUCAUCUCAAUCUGAAGAUCACGAAUACCAUCAGAACUCCAAUCGUAUUGAAACCCGAUCAAGAAGAGCGUACAAGCUACAGUACUAAGCAAUUUUCAGUAACUGUCCAAAACAUGCAGCAAGCCAGCAAACAUUCCAUUUCCACUCCAUUACAGUUUGUGGAACACACACAGGACGAAACAUAUCAUCAUUGCACCGAACCCUUACAAAGCCGGAUUGUAAUAUCUAGAUCUAAUGGAGCAGUUACAACUCAGAACAAUUGGAACUAAAAAAGGAUGCUGCAUUAAAUGGGGGAUACUGCACUCCAUCUACUUGAAACUGAAAACAUCUCUAGCUGUCAAAAUUCACCUCAAAUGGUAAACUGUGCAUCUCAGGGUGAACGACACGUGGCAUGCACACUUGUGUAUGGAUCUGAAGUCCGUGGAAUCCAUCAAUCAAUCUUUACUGAUGAGAAGAGGUAGUGCACGAAGGCGAAUGAUGUCAAAAAGCCAAUGGUUCCAGUUGCUAGCAUGAUCGCAAAUGCCAUGAGGAAUGAAUAGCCGACAUAAAGCAUUGCAGAGACAGGCCCGCUCAGGCUUCUGAGAUCAAAGACCAAGUAGUUGAUGGAGUAGAGGAACACGUAGAUAGCAACAGAACCUGGGGCGAAGAAAGCCUUCCACCACCACCUCCAGUCCUCCACACAGAGAUUCAUGUAUGUUAGGACAACGGAAACCUCAGCGCAGACAACGACAAGCAGCAGCAGGACAAUCAGCAGGAAGCCAAACACAUAGUAAAACCUUCCAAGCCAGAUGCUCGAUAGAAUGAAGAAGAGUUCAAUAAAAAGGGUUCCAAAUGGCAGCGUGCCUGCACCAAGGACAAGAAGCCAUGAUGGACACUUCCUCGCAGGGAUCUCUCUAGGGAUCUGAUUGGUUCUAACAGGGAACUCUAUUUGCUCCGCUCUUGUACCGAGAAAGCCACCAACAAGAGUCAAUGGCACGGAAAUGCAGAACCAUAGAGCCAGAAGAGUGAAAAACAGUGAGAUAGGUAAAGCCCCAGUGCUCCCGCUUUUCCACAACACAAAGUUUAAGACUGUCAGGACGGUAAACAUGACACCAGGGAAAAAGCAGGCAGUCAGCCAGGACACUGAUCUCCAACCUUCAGAUGUGCCCUUAAUAGUCCUCCAGAACCGAACACUGGCAUACCCAGCUGCAAUACCAAGGAAAAGAUAGAGAACAAUCAUCCCUGUAAGAAGCAUUCCUCUUGAGGCUGGAGACAUGAACCCAAGUGUGGCAAAAACUAUUGUUACGAUUGCCAUGCCCAAAAUCUGAACCCCAUCACCGAUCAUUAUGCAUAACAGCUUGGAGCAAGUUGGCUCUCUGAAUACAUCUCCAACUACAAGCUUCCACCCAGAUAAUUCCUCAUUCAUCUGUGCCUGUGCCUCCUUGUCGAGCUCUUCGUACCUGGUCAGGUCCCUCCUGACAGUUCUGAGGAAUAUGACAAAGACAAUUCCAGCCAAGAACAAGAUCACCAUGAGGGAGUUCAUUAUAGAGAACCAGUGGACCUUAGAACCAGCCUCCAUCUUCAGAUAAGCAUCCCACCUAGAUGGCCACUUGAUAUCACUCUUCACAAACUCGACGUCAUAAGUGAAUGUGAUCCUCUCUUGUUGCCUGAUCACUUGAGCCUUCUUAAGCUCCACAGGGCAGUCCACUGGGUCAAUGCUGUCGUACAUGUUAAGCUUAGAGAAAUCCUCAGCAUUACGCUUCACACUGCAAGGCACGACCUGAAAUCCAACAAUCUGAUAACCAGACAUCCCCUUCUUGUCUAUCUCUGAGAUGACACCAGAUCCUUCUUCUCCAGUGCCAAUGAUUUCCACAUUGUUGCCCUCAUACUCAUGGACCAAGACCUUAAACUUCAAAUGGUUGAUGAUAUAAUCCUCUGAGCUACCGGCUGGAGAGUAACCAACAGGGAAGCCAGUCCACUGUACUGUGACACCAUUCUGCUCAGUGAAACGCAUGACAGGCAGAUUGUCCAGCAUCAUGUUGACCUGGUAAAGAUCACGGGCACGUUGCUUAAGGAGCUUUGCAUCAUUCUCAUUAAGCCCUUUUGUGGUGCAGAGGAAGAUGGACUCGUUAACAUUCACAUGGAACCGGUAGGGCGAGUUGUCGAUCUGGUCACCCAUCAGAAGCUCACCCAGAUUCUCGGCACUCUUCUUGAUGCCACCCUGGGGGCGGCAGUAUGGAAGGCUAUAGUAGUUGAAAGGCAUCUCCGUCUCAAUGGAUGUGAGCGAGUUCACCUUGGCAGAUAUCAACUCACCUUGGGAGUAUGUGUGCAUGUAGCUGCCAGGCAGGUAGAAUGCAUUGCCUGGUGAGACGACCAGUAACAACACAACCCAUAACAGCGGAGCCAUAAAACAGGAACUGUGCAGCGCCCCAGCCAUGUGAAGCACAAAUUUGUCCAACACCUAGUACAUGUGUGAGCCGACCUGUAACCGACAAGAACUAAUGUUAUAUAGAUCAGAGGACUGUAUAUUAUCCCAAUAUCCAUGGCUCCUUAUGCGGCAUCGUUCGGACAGGACUAAACUGAAUUUAUAAUGCAAUUGCAGAAAUCUAAUACGUAAUUUUCUUGAGUAAGGUAUCGCAAAAACCCUCUUCUCCCAGAAAAAUCUAGAGCGUCCACAUUUUUCGCAAUGUUGAAACUGGGCUGGCUGUAUAAAACAUAAAGCCAAACUAGCACAGUAAUCCUUACGCACAAGAACAUGUGAAAUUAUGCAGUAACAUAUCCAAUAUCAUGUGAAUUAUGCAGUAGCAUAUCCAAUAGGCAUACAUGAUGAGGCACCUGUCAGGAGCAAGACCUUGCAAAACGUUGUGAGAAAACCUAACAAUGUAACUAUGCACUAAUUAGCCACCGAACGAACAGGCAUGCCAAUUUUUUAGUUCCUAACAGGCCCAAAACAGUAAAGUGUGCCACAAAUUGAGACACUCUGUGACUGCAAACCAGUAAGCAAGCAGGUAUAGCCCCACAUGCAGUGAACACCCUAGAACAAGUUCAACAGCCCAACGAAGACAGGCUAAUACAGGUGUAACCAACUAACCAUCACUCUGAAAUCUGAAGUAAACUUCCGCAGAAUCCUUACAAGUUCCAACACCAGAGCACAAGUUUCACAAGCUACCGACCCGCACGAACCCUGCACACCCGAACCGAACCACCAACCCACUCCCAGCAGGAACCCCCAGCGUACCGCGCGGCACGAACCAAGCAGCGCUGCUCAAUUUGGCCAGAAGCUCGAGGAUCUACCGAAACGAACUCGGAGAUCUAAAACGUGCAAGCGCGCGAGAGCCAAACCGGAAGAUUAAACCGCACCGCCGAGCAGCAGCUCCUACGCCCGGGCCCCCGAGAGGAAGAGGUAGCGGGCGGCGGACGCGCCGAGAAGGUUCUAGAAGGAAACGCGAGAAGGGGAGGAAGGUACCUGGCGCGCCGGGCGUGAGGAAGCGGGAGGUGGCGAGGAGGAGAUGGGCGUGGUGGCGUCGGAGGGGAAAGAGAGGUAGGGUGGAAGGGGAGGGGGUGUGGGCGUGUGGCGCAUCAAAAAAUCUUCUCGGCGAUGGGCCUGGGCCGGCUGGUGCAUCUGCUGCGGGUGGGUCCGAUUCUCGCGUGCUUUCGGUCUUUUUUGAAACUGUUUAAAUUUUGCUUACGAUCAAAUCGUCAAAAUAAGUUGAAAUUAGAGAAUUUUUUUUCAACUUUUCUGACCACGCUUUCUCCCCACCUCUUCCAUUAGUGCUAAAACGCAUAAUUUUUUUUAUUUUUUAUAUCUUAUUGGAGAAGCGCUUCUCGCCGUGACUUUUUCGUCUCGCUUGAUUGUUAAGCGGGGCAUAGGUGAAGUACGCCACGUUUUGCUAUUCCUAGGGCGGGCGACGCACAAUGAUGAGAUCUUGCUAAACUUGGGUGCCGAACCAGCGAACGCGACUCAGAAAAGUUACUAAAACCAAUCCAAGUUGUAGAUGCUCACAUGUUGAUGCGAACAGCAAGCAAUAGAAAACCGCGCGGUAGCCACGACGGUCGACUGAUUCAUUGAUCGUGCAUGGCCACAUCUCCAUGAAGGUUGAAGGGUCAGAAAGCCGGAGGCGGAGGGUCAGAAAUGAGAUUGCUGUGCUUUUCUCCUUCAGAAAGAAGAUGUUUGCCAGAAUCUAGUGUGCAGCGACGGUUGGGCGGCCUGCUGAAUGUUUCCGACUUGUGUAAGAAAGAACCUGGUAGCAAAUGUUACCACUAAAAGAUUUGCAGCUCAUUCAAACCUACAAACGUACAAGGUCAUACAGCAUUCUACUUCUCCCCCUCCCCCCUCGAACAACUUGUAGCCAUCGGACUCCUCGUCGGAGGAGAGGAACUCGGAUUCGGAUUCAUCGGAGCCAAUUUCAAUAUCGUAGUCGUCUUUUGUAUGAGCAAGGCUGAACCCGCUCAUCUCGUUCCUCCCAUCAUCCUCGUUGAUGAACUCCAGACCGUAUACCGCAUCUCUAUGCUUCACAACCAGCCAGCGAGCAGCCUGUCCUCCUUGUUCAGAUAGUGGAGUUCUUGCGUGAAAGUAGGUGGAACCAUCAUGGUCAUUUGCAUAAGCUGGCCCUGUAAAUGGGACAACAAUCUUUAAGACAUCUACACAUGACCAAAGAGGUUGGGUGGCCUGGGCAUUCUUGAUCUUGGUCGUUUCAAUCGCGCACUGCGGCUUCGAUGGUUGUGGUUCAAAUGGAAACAGCCUGACAAACCAUAUUCCGGAUUACCCAUAACUAUGACUGAAACUGAAAGGCAACUUUUCAAAACAUGCACCGAGAUCACUGUUGGAAAUGGGCAAAAAACAAACUUCUGGAAAGACAACUGGCUAAGAGGAAGAUCACCCAUGGAGAUAGCGCCGGUAUGCUUCAGACUUGCCUGGCGCAAGAACCAGUCAGUGGCAGUCGCACUGACAAACAAGCGUUGGAUGCGAGGCCUGAGACGCAUAAACACUGAAGAAGGUCUACUACAAUUCAUAGCACUCUGGACAGCGAUACAAGACUUCCAACUGACAGAGGAAGAUGAUCAGAUAAAAUGGAGAUUUACUGCCAAUGGAACUUAUUCAGUAUAAUCUGCUUAUCAGACACAAAUUCAUUGGAUCACAUUCAGACACCAAGUGGCAGUCCAUCUGGGAGGCUAAGGUGGAAAACAAAUGCAAAUUCUUCGCGUGGCUGUUACUGCAAUAUAAGCUGCCGACAUCGCAUCGGACAAGUUCACUGCCGCAGGAAGUCAAGGCAGACCAAUCUGUCAGCUAUGUAGAACGACGGCUGAAUCCAAUACCCACAUGAUCGCAAAAUGCAGUUGAUAUGGACCCGUAUCUUGACUUGGGUUGAUCUCCCACAGCCGCAAUGGGGAACUGAUCGAACCUUAAAAGAGGGAUGGCAAGAAUUGACAGAAGGAGGCCGUGGAAUAUCUAUUCAGAGAACACAAACUAUAAUCUACACAGCCUGGAACAUUUGGAAGGAACGUUGCCGCAGAGUAUUUGACAACAAAGCUCUAUCACCGGAACAACUGUUCAACAUCAUCAGGCAAGACAUUCAGGCAUACAGAAUGGCGCAGACCUUUAAAGAGUGAUCAAACAAGAAUUUGUUUCCUGUUGUAUGAAGGCACGCUAACAAUAUGGCUGCCGCCUUGUAAAUUAUUCCAUACAUGUAACUGGCACUCCCGCCAGUAAAUGUUUUCUCCUUUAUCAUUAAAUGGCAGCGCACCUGCCCGAGCUUUGCUCAAAAAAAAAAAGACAUCUACACAUGAGCAGGUUCACAUAAACGAAUCUGUGCUCAACAAAAGAAAUAAAUCUACGUAGAUAUCACUUUUCGCCAUCCAGGCAAUAUGUUCAAAAAAAAACUUGGCAAUGGUUUAAUAAGCUUCAUCGUUAGCAGGUAAUGACUGAAAGCAUUCAUUGCGCUCAUAUCAGCUGUUUAGCCAUUCUACAUUAUCUGCUCUGCUGUUCAGCAAAUCCUUAGCAGCUAAAGUCACAGCAGUGUCUAAGUUCACCCCUAAAGCAGCUAUAUAUUUUUAUUUCUGCUAGUAAAUCAGCUCAUCACAAUGUAACUCCAUUAAUCAUGAAGCACAAACACUAAUAAAUUUUAUUUAACAUGUCAACUCCAUUUAUCAGAACCAAUGAUUGUUAGAAGCAUUUUCGUUGCCUUUUUUUAGCCACAGUAUGUCAUAGGCAAUCCAUUUGCAAAUUAAGCAUCCUUUGCAGAAUUCAAAAACACGCAGGCCUGACAUUCUCUAAAGUUAUAACAGCGUAAUUUUCUUUCUAAUCAAAACUAGCAAAUCUGUCCCAGGCUCCCAGCCUUAUUAUUAAUCUAUUAAUAUAUGUGUGUUUAAAGAGAAUGACUCAAGCAUCACAGUCAAGUUUACCAGAGGACAACUGAGGAUUUCACUAUACAAAGCUCACAGGGACCAUGAAAAAAGUCAGAAAGUCAUACCGAUACUGCCACCCCAGACUCAACAGGCCAACAGUGCCUUGUUAAACUAAAAUCCAUCACGACUGCAUACAAGCUGGAAGCUACAGACACAACAUAUAAUGUCUAAAGGUCGAUGCAGCACAGCAAUGUUUACUCUUGACUUCUACAAGACACUAUAAGGUAAAACUCAACUGUUUAUCUCAAAUAAAUGCCUGAAUUCCGUGUUUUAAAACAUUAAACUCAUAAUAGUACUAAAUCUUCCAUAGUAAGAGGAUUGGAUGUGUUUACGCAUAAAUUGUCAAAACUAAAAUUAUAGUACUUGCUAACAAUUGGCUGAUCUAUCUUGUAGCUGCAGUUCUUUGUCUUUUGCUAUAGUAGUGGCCGCGGCAGGUUCUUUUGCUGAUUAACAUCUAUUGUAAGCUAGAGUCCCAAGCAGAAUCGGUUGUAACAAAACUCUACAUGCUUUCUAUAAAAUCAUAGAUACCUUUCUGGAAAACAAUCGUCUGAUCUUGGAAUGUUGAAUAGAAAGCUAUAAUGAACAACCCCACAGAGGAAGUGGACGAUGCGUUGAACUUGCUGUCGGUGCGCCUGGACGCGGCCGCACGCGCGCACCAGGGCGGCCAGAACGUCCCCGGCACCAAUGGCCAGGCUCCGCGCGUGGCUGAACCUGACGGCCGAGCCUCUCCCGUGGCAGAAACGGAGCAUGGUGGCUCACCUGCUGGCCUCUUCACCGCGCCACCAGGAGCCCAGGCCGACGGCCGCAUCAUCCACGCAACCGCUGCACCAGAGCACCAGAGCACCACGAGCAUCACCGGGGCUCUCUUCAUCAGGCCGGAGAGGCCACUUCACAGCAGCGCGCCGUCGCUGCAGGAACCGGCCCCGCCGGUACAGCCGGGGUCAACCAAGCGCCGCCGCUCACGCCGUGUCUUCGACGUGUCAACGGUACGUCGUAGUGCGCGCCUCUCCACUCUACGCCCAAUGCCGGCCAUGCAACGCGCGCAGCGCAACUUAUGUCGUAAACUCGGUCUCCUGAAUGAUGACCUGCAGCCCGUGGAGGCUGCAUUGCAGGAAUACCUCGCCAUGUUCCAGGGCCCUCUCCCGCAGCAUGUCAUCGCGGCGCUCAUGGCGACUUUCAACCUGGACGACGCGCACGCCGAAGCCCUAGACGAAGCCAUGGCAAUGGUGACCGGAGAAGCAAUUCAGGACAUCCAAAAAGCUGUCGACGCUUUACAGGAAGAUGUCCUGCAGGCGGCUGCUUAACAGUCACGCCUCUGUGUCGCUUAGUGUCUCCUACUCUGUUAUGUCAGUUGCAAGUUCAGAAAAUUUGUGCAGCACAUGCCGUCGCUGCAGUCUACUUUUCAUCAUCAGAGACUCCGUUUCAAUUUGGGUUGUAAUUUUAAUGCUACAGCUUCGUAAAGGCUGCGCUACAACUUCUGUGUCGUCGUUUCUUCUUUUAACUUCAGCGUUGCACCAACCUCCAGCGUUUGUGUUGUUCCAGCUAAUGGCUGCAUUACUUUUCUAUACGCCUGAGUGGGUUCUGGUACACUUGCACGAGCUAAUGGGGAAGAGGCAAGGCUCAGCCAGCAACCUUCCCCCACCCUUGACCAGGCUGCACUUACCGACGACCAGCAGCCGCACGAACGCCACAAUCACCAACGCUGCAAACGACGUCUCUCUGUCCAAACAUGACGCAAAUGAACAUUGAAAUCCUAUGCUGAGGGGGCUGAACAGUAGAGCGAGGAGAGACACAGUCCUAGAGACGAUCUCAGCCACCUUAUGCCACAUCCAUGCCUCCAAGAAACAAAACUUGCCGACAUCAACCAUUUCACAGCGGCAUAUUUGGGAGGACAUAGGCUCGAUAACUACUCCUACAAGCCAGCAAGGGGCAUUAGCGGAACGCGGGAAGGCAUUCUCCUGUUAUGGAACGCCAAUCAUGUCAAGCUGACAAACGUGGUAACAGGACAACAUCAUAUAACGGCGACAGUCACUUUGCAACAAACGUUAAAUACCUUUGUUCUGUCGGCAGUGUAGGUCCGACCAGAGCUAGCAGGAAAGCUGAAUUCCUCGCCGAGCUGCAAUCUAUAAAGCCACAGAACAAUUCCUGAUGGCUAGUCCUAGGUGACUUCAACCUCGUCUACAAAGCAAGCGACAAAAAUAACAACAGACUAAAUCGGCGACAAAUGAACAUGUUUAGAAAGGCCUUGGAUGCUUGUGAUCUCCGUGAGAUUCACCUUCAGAACAGAAAGUUCACAUGGAAUAAUGAGAGGAGAAACUCCACUAUGGUUAGGCUAGACAGAGUUUUGCCAAAUGAGCAAUGGGAGCAGGCUUUCAAUAACCAUAUGCUUCAAGCACUAUCCACCUCGCUCUCCGAUCAUUGUCCACUACUCCUUUCCAACCACGACGGCUCGAUACGACCAAAAUCAUUCAGCUUUGAAAACUACUGGACAAAGCUUCCAGGAUUCAGGGACACGGUCGCCCGAGCAUGGAAUGCUCCGUCAGCCCACGUUGAGCCUUUCCACAGACUCUAUCACAGGCUCCAUGACACAGCCGUCACUUUACGAGAAUGGUCCAACCGCCUGAUACCUGAUGCGAGAAUGGGGGAUGCAAACACGUGAUUUUUUCAUCGGCGGGUCAACGCAUGGCGCCGUGCAAAAUUCAUACAAAAAUUAAAGAAGGGCAUCGGCUGGGCAUGCACACAUGAAGAAAAAGCAACAGAGAUACAAAACUUCUUUAAACUCACCAUGCAACAGCCACAACCACGUCAGGCAGAUUUCAAUUGGGACACCCUGGGACUCAGCAGCCAUGACCUCUCCUCACUCGACUCGCCAUUCUCUGAAGAGGAAAUCAAAAGGGUCAUCGACAAAUUGCCAAGCGAUAAAGCCCCAGGACCGGACGGUUACACGGGCCUCUUCUUCAAGUCAUGAUGGGAAGUAAUCAAACAGGAUGUCAUGGGGCAAUAAAUGCCUUCUACUCACUUCGCUGCAACAAUCUCAGCCUCAUAAAUUCGGCUACAAUCAUUCUGCUGCCAAAGAAAGAGGGGGCUGACACGGUUCAGGACUUCAGGCCCAUUAGCUUGAUACACUCAUUCAUCAAAAUCAUCAUGAAAGCAUUGGCAUUAAGACUCCAACCAUACAUGAACUCCAUUGUUUCCACAUGCCAGAGCGCAUUCAUUAAGAAGAGGAGUAUUCAUGACAAUUUCAUGUCGGUACGCAACACGGCGCGACACUACCAUCGCAACAGAGAGCAAGCUAUCUUCCUUAAACUGGACAUUGCAAAGGCAUUCGACUCCAUUAGAUGGGAUUACUUGCUAUCACUAAUGCAAAGCCUUGGCUUCCUGGCGCGUUGGCGUGACUAGAUUGUGGCAAUAUUGUCAACCUCCUCAUCGAGGGUUCUACUAAAUGGGGUCCCAAACCCGCCUAUAAAGCAUGGCAGGGGUCUGCGACAAGGUGACCCCCUUUCGCCGCUUCUCUUCGUCAUAGCAAUCGACCCGCUGCAAAGAUUACUCCAACUAGCAAUGGAGAUGGGAAUUUUUACCAAACUCCGAGGACGUGGGCCUUCAUGCCGGAUAUCAUUGUACGCUGAUGACGCGGCUUUGUUCAUUGCGCCAAGAAAGGAGGAGAUAGAUGCACUAGUAGACAUCUUGAAUAUGUUCGGUGAGACGAUGGGGCUCAAAUCAAACUUCCAAAAAUCAACAGCACUGCCUAUUUGAUGCCAAGGGAUACCGCUAAUGGAAGUACUGUGAAAUUUGUCGGGCAAGCUCGGAACUUUCCCUACCAAAUAUCUGGGCUUAUAUCUACGUCACGAUUAAAAUCAAUCCACUUUCAGACUCUAGUGGACAAGACAGUUGGGAAACUUAGCAGUUGGAGCGCAAGAAACAUGACAACAGCUGGGAGAUUGAAACUUGUCAAAUCGGUGCUAACUGCCCAACCAGUGUACCUACUCACAGCUCUGAAUGCACCAAAGGAAAUCAUGAAGACAAUAGAUGCCAAGAGAAAGCAAUUUCUGUGGGCCAACAAUGAAAAUAUCACAGGUGGUAAAUGCAAAGUGAACUGGACGAGAUCUGCCAAACAUAGGAAAGGGGGCGGUCUAGGUGUGUUACACCUUGCCAAAUUCUCUAGAGCGCUACGCUUAUGCUAGUUAUGGCAACAAUGGAUUAAUGAGGGUGCAUCCUAGGAUGAUUGCGACGCCCCUUGCUUGCAAGCUGACCAUAAGCUCUUCGCGGCAAGCACGACGCUAACAAUUGGCGAUGGCAACAAAAUAUCCUUCUAGGACUAUGGAUGGAUCAAUGGUCAAAGGCCCAGGGACAUGGCACCUAACCUCUUCAACAUCUCAAAAGGGAAGAACAGAUCACUACGCGAAGCCAUCACGGAUAAUGCUUGGGUCACGGAUAUUGACCUCCGGCACCAGGGGUUCUCAGUGACAUACUUCAUUGAGCUUCAGAAUCUCUGGAACGCCGCAUCCUGCGUGCAACUCCAACCAGGAGUCCCGGACACUAUUCGAUGGAAAUUGACGGCAGAUGGACAACACACCACGCAAUCAGUAUACCGAGCGCAGUUCUUUGGAUCAACGAACACCAAUUUCGAGGCAAUUAUCUGGAAACCUGGGCACCACCGAAGUGCAAGUUCUUUGGCUGGUUGGCCGUUCAGGACAAAAUAUGGAUUGCGGAUCGGCUGCAGCGUCGGGGAUAGCCAUGCAAUCCACGUUGCGUCCUCUGCAAAGUGGCUCAUGAGACGGGGCUGCAUUUGUUCACUGAAUCCAGUUAUACAAGGAAUAUUUGGACCCAAUUGAGUACAUGAACCAGGUGCGAAGCCAUGGACCCGAGCUGCUGGACUCCACACGACACCCUGCAUGACUGGUGGACAACUUUAGCGGGUGUGCAGGUCGUUGAUGCAAAAGGAUUGAGAUCUCUUAUCAUUCUAGUGUUGUGGAAGAUAUGGAAGGAACGCAAUGCAUGGGUUUUCCAUUGUCAGGAACAAUCCCUCUCUCGAUUAGUGGCCAAGAUAAAAGACGAAGCAAACACGUGGGUGGCGCACGUGCUACACACCUGGAGCGGGUCCUUGACGCUGCGAGGCGUAGUUGAGUGUACAUAGGGGUGUCUGAUCAUUUUUUUCGGGUUUCAGCCGAGUCCACAGUGUAUAGCAUGUAAAGUUUUCUAUCUUAUUACGCCGUCGGGCAUUCCUCUUUAUUAAUAAAGCGGCUGGCUCGUUUCGAAAAAAAAUUAGAAAGCUAUAGCAUGCUAUAACUGAUUAAUCAGUAUCUCGUGACAAACUGUGAAGCGAUACUUAAACUUUUGGCCACAAUGUUGAUCUGAAUUAAAAAAUAUGCUGCAGCGAAACAAUGGUGUCAUUGUCUCGCAGCACGGAAAUGAAAAAGGAUACCAAAAGUGAAAGAGAAAAAUGGCAGAGAGAGAAUUACAAAGGAGAUGUAAUAUCCCAAACCUUUACUAAAUGAUAUUGAUAAUUAAAUUGAUGUGCCUAACUCAAAAGGCAAUAUACAGUUUUGGUAUACAGCACUGAAGGUCCAAAAUUAAAUUCCAAUUUCCGAAGCUGUUUAGUUGAUCCAUAGUUGAAAUGAUAUCCUGACAUGUAAGACAAUGCUUUUUGGAUACUGUUCUGAAUUUCCUAAGACCUAAUUCUUGUAUUGUAUGCAACAGUUAGUUUGUUCGCUUCCAAUUGAAGCAGAUCCAAGGUCAGGCCCUUUGUCUGAAAAAAGGCUUCCAGGCUGAGAAGCAUAGCUCUUAAUGCAAAGUAAAACCUAAGCAUACUUGGAACUGAUGGAUUAUUUAUCAUCUGCAAUAUUUGCACUUUGCACUAACGAUAACACUUCUGUCCUGCUAAGUGAAAGAUCUAAGUGUUGUUACUUGAUAAUCAGACCAACAGUAACUUGAUGUGGUCAUUUCCUUGCUAACAUAAAAAUGCCUUCACAGUGCACACAAAGAAAAAAAUUUCAUACGUUGCAACUCAAGAGUAGAUAUAGAUAGAAUUCGAAGUUAUCAAGACUAAACAACGACAGCCAAGCCUUUAGUCCAAAGCAAUUUGGUGGUUACCAAGACUUCUUCAGAGAAUAAAAUAUGUUAGUUGCUUAUGAUAUAACAUAAAUAAGUGGAAGAAUCAAACAACUCUUAGAUGUAAUAGCGAAUGUCAUAUUCUGUCAAUGUUGGAUACAGAACUUUGAAAUCUGUGUUGAAUGCUGAUUUCUAACAGUAUCAAGCAGCUUCACAAUAUUAAGCCUCUACAAAGAUUCUGAAGGAUUUUAAUAUUUCUUUUGAGUUUUGAUCUGCAAGGGUGCAGGUUAAAAAGGCCAUCACAAUAUAAACAGAUGUGUAACAACUAACAAAACCGUAACCUGUUAUUGCUAAAACAGUAGUUCAAGGGAUAAAUAAAGAACAAGCAAUAGGAUUCAUGGAAAACCUUCUUUUUCUUCACAGGUUUGAGGAUCUUAUUGAUGCAUUUCUCAUUGCUGUUGACACUGAUGCCCUCAAAUACUUCACUGUAUUUUCGUCUACCAACUUUGCUGAACACUUCAUGGUCAUCCUGCUCACUUAUCAAAGAGACAUGAUACUUGUCAUAAAUCCCAUAAUUUAAUAGGUACUGACCAUUGGACCUUGUUAGUAAGCCAAGAUUAUUGAACCUGAAACCAACAUGCAUCACAUGUCACCUCAGACCCAGAGUACCAUAUCAACCUUUGAAACUAUAAAAUAUUCUUCUUCUAGCCUAAAAUACCGCAUCAGGUAUUUUAAACUCUAAAAGAGUACUCGUCCAUCCUAAAGCCUAAAAAAUAGCAUCUAAAACAGUACUCGUCCAUCCUAAAGCCUAAAAAAUGGCAUCUAAAACAGUACUCAUCCAUCCUAAAGCCUAAAAAAUAGCAUCUCGUUAGGCGAUCAUCUUUUGAGACUGUAAAAUACUUUUUUUUACCCAUCCAUCCUAAAGCCUAAAAAAUAGCAUCUAAAAGAGUAUUCGUCCAUCCUAAAGCCUAAAAAAUAGCAUCUCAUUAGGCGAUCAUCUUUUGAGGAUGUAAAAUACUUUUUUUUACCGAAAUCAGCAAGGGAAGCCCUUACCUAAUUUUUUAUAAUUUUUUUUUAUUCCAGACCUGUUUAAUUCGCUUCCACGGGGAGUUGAACCCGAGCUUGCUGAGUGCUACUCAGGUGCUCUAAUCACUAGGCUAGAGGCCCUUUCACAAGACUGUAAAAUACUUCAAUACUUACUUUUUCAUUUAGAACAUAGGAACAAAAAUAGUGAAAUAUAGCAGAUUUCGGGAACAAAAACAAUGCCAUGUAUCCCACAAACUUCAGGAACAAAGACAACAUAACGUGUUGGGAGUGAGCUGGAGGCGGGCAUGUAGGAUGCAUCAGCUCAAAACAAAAACACAGGUUAGACAUGUGAGUUUCAGAGCAAUGUGCCAUGGUUUUUGUCCCUUUCAUUUAGUUAAGAGGUAUGUGACCAUGACCAUGUGUCCCUUUCAACAGUUUUAGAGCAAUGUGACCUUGACCAUUUGUUUUCUGCACCUCUUGAUAGUUUUAUUAGGCCCUAAGCCAAUUGCUCGCUAGAACAUGUAUUUAAAAAAAAGGACAUCCAGCAUGGAUUGACCAGCAUAAGGUCUGGCCCUACCAUCCGGAGAGUAACUGAAAACUACUUCUAAGGAGCCGCCAAUGUCUUAGACCCUUGAUAUGUACAUUCUUUGUCCUUGAUGUAAUCAACUCCGCGUGCUUUCGCAGAUCCACGAGCAAAACUAAAAUUUCAACAAAAUACAAUCUCAGAUUUGUAAAAGAAGUUGUCGAUUGAGAUGAAAAUCAAGAUUAGUACAAUAUUGAAAAAGUUAUGCUUUUACUCCAUGGUUGAUCUUAGCAAUGGGAGUUAUAUAUAAUCAACCAACGAGUUCAAAUAUAUUGCAAGUCAUACAAAAGAAUCAAUUUAUACAAAACAGAUUUACUAACAAUGUUAACUACAGAUAUAAUCUUACUCUUGUGAGAAAAUUUUAGAUUAAUCAUCGAGUGAAUCUUAUGUCAAAUUAGACUAGUGAUGCAUUUCUAAAAGUUCCAACACUAUCUUUUGAGAAAUCAGCGUCCCGAACUACCGACUUUUUAGAAGUGGCACCAAAGUAAUGUGCUACCACUUUUUUUUAAACCCUUACCCACACUACUUCGAAAAGAACUUCGCAUUAACACGAAUGCGGGAGACCAACUCUCUACAAGGGUACCCAAAUCUUUUAUUCACCUAAUCACAACUUGAUACAACACUCACUCUUAAACUCUUUAUGUGCCUACCCUACCAAGACAUCAUUACACUACAUGGCAACCUUGUCAUCUCUUCACCUAUGGCUCACAUGCCACUCUAGCCAUGGUAUGGCUAGGAGGGAGGGAAGCACCUCUAUUUAUAGGUGCUCAUGAUCAUUGUGGUGUUGCCAUGUGGUAACUUCCACACUCUUCCAUACAAAAUAUCCUAACUCUAGAACCCUUCUCAUUCUUAUCUAGUUUCUUAUAUUUCUACCAUGCUAAUAUAUCUAGUUCUAGAGUAUUCUACACUUCACCAUGAAGCAUGGCAACUAUGGCUCAUGCAUUCUCUUCAAUUUUCUAGAACCUUCUUACCUUGCCAUGAUCUUAUCCUUAUACAUGGCAAAGUUAGUCUCUUGAGAUCUCCACGAUCUUCAAGAAUAUUCUAAGUAUGUAUUGCAUAUUUCAACACUAUCUAAUCCUAGAAGUAUUUGAGAAUAACAAAUAAACUAAAUGCCCCCAAAAUCAAACUCGGCAUUCACCAAGCAGACACAGAACUCAGGCACAAACAGAAUAAAAAUGCAAAUACGAGUGUGUUACUCACCUAACUAUGGGGAUGAGAAGAGGUCGGUAGGGUGGUGCCGCUGCACCGGGCACCAGAUGCACAGAGCGGAUCGACGAGUGGAACGGGGGGGAGGGGGGUGGCGGAGCGAGGCGCGGCAGGGAGCACCUCCACGUCAGGUCCAACCCCGCGCGGCCCCAGUGGAAGACUGGAUGGAUGGGAGCGGCCACGGCAGCGGGAGGGGGGCAUGGAGCGGCGGGGAUGAAGUCGGCGUACAGCUGCUGCAGGAGCCCUGGAAGGGACGGUGCAGGAAGGACAACUCUAAAGCUAGUGCGGCCCCAGCAGAUGACCUGCUGGAACGUGGCGGCAGGGAUGGCAGGCGGCGAUGCCACCAGCAUCUCUGCCGCAGUGAGUCCAGCCGAAGGUAGUGGGAAAUCCUCCUGCAGCAGAGAUAAACCAAUGAGAAAAAUAAAAAGGAAAAAUAAAAAAAUUAUCAGUAAAACAAGUGAUCUAGCAGUAGAACUAAUUGUAUCACCUCCAUAUCAGCAUCCCCCAGAGUGAAUACGCCUACUCCCCAAAUGACGAUGAGCAACACAUCGCCCACAACCACAAGCCUCCACGCGGCGAACGGUGCGCGGCACUCCUACAACGCAAGCACGAGCAGAGAUGCGCGCAGGUGCACGCCGCUCCUCCUCACACCCGAUGCUGUAGUGAUGAUCUGCCAAGUCUCUGGGAGUGAGGUGGGAUCAUCAGGGAUCAAAAUGUGCGCGUGCCACCUGAACUCCUCGACAGUGGACUUGAUCGCGGUGUAGAUGGACUCCACAGCCUUGCACAUCAACAAAAUGCGAGCUGAUCAGGCCGCGAUAAGAUCGAACGCUACAACAGCAUCCGAUCUCACGAACGUUUUGCCGCAAUGCUCUACCAUGCGCGCCCCUCGGCAAACUGUGCAGCAACAUGUUACGAACCCUGCGCUCGCACAAUUGAUCCCUGCCGCGCUCUACUAUGCCCCCAGUGACAUGUUACGAACCCUAAGUUGACUGAAUUGAUUAGCGCCACGCGCUACUCUACGCACCGCGACGACAUGCUGCUACGAACUACAGACUCCCCGCCGCACUGUGGCGUCGCCCAGCCUUCCACGCGACUUUCUGACAAUGCAAAACCCAACCCCUCGUGAUCCUUCAACGCGACGCGAUGCACCGUCGAGCAAACUCCAGCAAUGAAUCUCGCGGCUAAACAGAUUUGUCACCAAAUGUUAUAGAGAAUUGCUACGAAACCCUUCUCAACAAAUCCAUCCACGAUGUUCCCACCCACGAGUUCAGCAAGCAAAAACCCUAAACGCUUUCAUCUUCUCCCAACUACGGUGCGACAUUGAGAGAAGGGGAGAAAGAGGCGCUGAUAAUUUUACUAAUCCGGUCGGUGAUCAGAAGCUUCACCACCAUGGUUGCGAGUCCCUGGACGACGCUCGGAGAUGAGAGAAUGGAUGGAGGGUGUAACGUGCGUAGGGAGUGGAAAUGAAAAGGAAAGGGAGGAAUUCAAAUUCUGUUGGCGCAGAGAUAAACUAUGUUUAUAGACCACCGGGGCACACGGCCGACACGAGUCGAAAUCCCCACAGCUUGGAAAGCUGGAGGGAGUCAGGUACCAUGCGGUUUGGUUUCCCGCUAGGCUUCAUGCGAUGCACGGUAGUUCACCAACAAGCACACCAGCCCGAUUCGGCCCAGCCCAAGCAUCCCUUUGACCCUUCAGCCUCUGCAACACGAUGACCUCAAAGUGUGAAGCGCUCGAGCCACGUGCACGGCCCUCGAGAGUGUGCUUCAUCGAGGAGAUUGCUGGCGGGCGGGACGAUCGCUCGUAGUAUAUACGUGUCAUGUCGGUUACUUAAUUGUGUACAUUCACCAUGUACUCGGAACCCAUCCCGUGGAUGUACGCCUGAUGAUGUGCUGUGGCCAAGAGGUUGUGGCUGUGGAGCCACAUGGUUCGUCACGUUUGGUGCCAGCCGCCAGGAAGCUUAGUGUACGUGCACCUAGUCGGGUGCACUACACGCCCACACACAACGUACACCCUCUCUUGUGUGUCACGUCGCCAAACACUUAUGCAACUUACAACCCUGACAACCAUAAGGGAGCCACAUGAUCGGUGAUUAGGGAUCCGUCAGCGUCGGAUGUCAUGGGGAAUGCGCUCAAACGGCCGGUUGUCUCCGUCGCCCCGGAUGGACUUUUCACCCUCGAUGACUCUGGGCAUGCCGCCGCUUUGCCAAUGAGGCGCAUGGUUGUGCACCAUGAGUCCACGGCGCGAGAUCCCGCAGCUCGGCACGAUCCUGAGCCUUUCCUGGGCGACUCGCUCAGGCGCCUUCCGCGUUCCAGCGGCGUCGGGCCUCCACGACGUGAAGGCCAAGCGUUGCCGGUCGAGGCGAUGAGGAUGCGUCGCCGCCGCCCGCCUACGAACACCCACCCACGGAACGCUUCCUUCGUGACUAGGUUGCAACAUUAUCCAGUGAAGUAAUGCAGUGCAUCAAAUAUUUGUCGAAGGAUAUAUUGGAGUAGCUUAAGGAUUUGAAUUAUGACUUGGAUCACAUAUGUUAUAAAAUCCUAAACUACUGGUUCAAAUAUGGAUGUGCUCAGCUAGAAUGCAAUGUUGAAGCCCUCAAGUUGACAUCGAUUAAGUAUGGCAUGAGUGAAGACAUACAAGCUCAAGUGGUUGAAAUGUUGUUUAUAUUUAUUCUUAAGGACAGGAAUAACCUGUGACCGGUAACAACGCAACCCUACCAUACUACUGCUGUCGGAGAAGCAAGCUGUAUGCAUGGCUACUGUUGGGCUGACGCACCUAGGAGAAAAAAAAGAUAAUAUUUACUUUAAAUCGCUAUAACUUUUGAAUGGGGUGUCCGUUUCAAAUUCCAUUUGUACCAUUGCGCUCUACGUGACGAGGCGAACAAAACUAGACCGCACUUGCAUAUGUUUUGAAGACCUUUUUAUAUUAGUAGCAACUUAUGUGUAAAGGUGUUAUUAAAGAUUAUCAAUGGAGUUGCUAUCGUGUAUAUAUUAAAAUUGCUAUCGUAGGAAUAUAUUGAAGUUGCUACAUGGUAUGCACAUUAGGUACUAUCGUAGAGGUCAUAAAUUGCUAUAAAAAUAUACUAAGAUUGUCACGUGAUAUGCACAUAAAUUGAUAUCAUAUAAUAUGUAUCAAUUAUGUAAACAUGUAACAACUUAUGUGCAUAUAGUAUUAUAACUUAUGGUAGUAACUUAUGUAGAGACAACGUGGUGACUUAUUUAGAUACUUUACUCUUCAGUAGGUAAAAUAAUAUGAAGGUGAAAAAUAUUUGUGUAGCAAUUUAUGUACACAGUUUAUUGAGAGAUUUACACAUAAUUUGUUGCACACUUAAUAUAUAAGUAGCUACCACACACUUAGUAUAAGUUGCUAGUAAAUAAAAAAUAUUUCAAAAUAUAUCAAUCAUGGGUGUUGUUUCAUAGAUCUCAAUAUGAAAGAUACAGUGAUGCAAACGGAAUUGAAAAUAGAUACUAUGCAAGGAAGUUAUUUAGAAGUGGAAAAAAAACGGGCCAUGGUAACCCACCUCCCCUUGGCUGCGGCAGUCGCACUCUUGCAUGUUAGCGCGACUCCUCAUCGGAUAGGCUUCCUAUUCUUAAGUUCUACAACAUUGGUUGAUUGGUAAAAAUCAAAAGUGCUCGUAGUUGUGACCCACAACAUGCGACAUAUGUACACGGACUGUUUUCAACGUAGGGCCCAAAAAUGGAUUGUAUCUUGGGCCCAUGAAGAAUAUUGGGCCGAUGCUGUAACUAAGGCCCAAGCAUUCAUUCGAAGGCCGGAACUUUCGAUGGGCUCAAAGCUCUAAGAUGGACCAGGGCAGCUUUUGUUAGGCCCAUUUUGAGCAGCGCGAAUCAGUCCAAGACAUCAAAGCAGCAAACGCAGUAGAUGUGUCAUGUAGAUCCUCCCUCCUUCAAAUCAAGGCCUCCUCUACGUUGUAGGAGUAGGAGCGUAGGAGCUCCAUUACCGGAUCCUCCGUGAAAGUGACCACGUGAACAGUGCCGGCUCGCGUUGCUUACGGCCGCCGUAACCCUCAAAACUCCCCACCCGCCCGCCAGCGCGCCCGCGCGCGUGACGAAUUUACGCCCGCCGCGCCGAUGGCCAACAGGCCAAGCAAAGCAGGCAGGCGGGGCCGCGCGCACGUUCCCCCCCUCCGCUCCGGCGCCACCGGUGGAACCGUGGACGCAUUCACUCCUCCGGACGACGAGCCCAACAGUGCGCGGCACGGGAUCCGACGCACCGGCGCCAUCCUCCCCCCCGCGCGCGUCGGCCACGACGACGCCGGCCGGGGCCAGGCAGGCCUGUGCAUACGUAUUCAUUGAUCGUGCAGCAUGGCCGCUUGAGCCAGGCGUAGUAAAUGGCUCUACAUUCCUGCUGCAGGCGGCGAAGGUGAAAGUGAAACUGGAACCUCUCUGACGCGACGUAACCUCGUCGAGCACGAGCACGAGCAGCAGCAGCCAGGAAUUAACCGCCCGCGGGCUUCAAUUCAUGCCUGCUGCUUCGGAGAAUGAAUCGAGCAUUUUUACUCGUGUACUUUGUUACCUUUUGCAUGGGAUGGAUCAUGGCUGGCUGCCUGGCUCCGGUCCGCGGCCCUGUGCGCGCUGCGCUGCGCCGGGGGCUUUCAAUUCGCGGGCAGAAGGAACGUAAGCCUACAGUGAUCAGAGUUAACGCGCUGGCGCGCUGCGCACUUGGGGUUGAUCCGGCGCGGCGCGGGGGCUGUGGCGCUGUGCCCGUGUGCGUCAGCGCGCGGGCCGCGGAGUGGGCAGCGCGGGGGCGGGGCAACCGGCCAAGCGGCGCCACAGGAAUCCCUCGCCCUCUCUCUCGCCAGCAGCGCGUCCGCGGCGUCCUGUGCGGUGCCCAUCACCCAGCCGCGCCGCGCGCGGCCCCUGCGCGCUGUCGCGUCGCGUCGCUAGCUGCGCGGGCGGGCAGCGGCACAUGCUGACAUGCACGCCCCGCCUCCCGGUACGGCGCGCCGCGCGGGCGUCGAACCGGGCCGGGCGCUCUCGGCAGCUGGCUUCGUCAGGGUCGGCUGGGACUGGGCGGGAGAUGGCCGGUGCCGCGGGCUCGCGGCAUCCGAUGCCCCGGCCCGGCCGUGGAAACGACCUUUGGCAGGGAUGCCUACUAUGCUAGCGGAAGCAGCGCCUGCGCUGUACGUAGGUCGUUUUGCAUCUUUCUGGUCAAUGGCCCGUUGAACGCCGGACCCGUGACACGACCGGCGAAUGGCGCGUCUCGCCUACGACGGUGCCGCAGCCUUUCCGUUGCGUCCCGUCUGCGUGGCGUACCAACGGGUUCCCUAGUCUGACAAGUGGUGCGCCUAAUAACAGACACAUCGCCAGAUUGGCUGACUGGGAGAGCGCCCAGCGCCAGCACUGGCUAGUAUGUCCCGUAGCCACAGAGCUGCUCCGCCGUGGGAAUUUUACCAAGUGCUCCGUUUCCACUCUGUCAAAAACUGUCAUCCGGAGUUCCAGACUGAAGUGGCAUGGUCCUAGCACUACCUGAAUUCCGUUUUUCAAAACAAAAUACACCACGGAAAUACAGUCCGGAAGUACGCAUACACCCGGCCAGCCGCAUUGAUGGCGAGAGGUUGUGCAGGGGGGCGGGCGCCGGCCCGGCCAGCCCCAACGCCGUACCGGCCAGCCGCCUCACGUGCCCGCCGCGGUACCACACGCCCCCCAUGUUGGCCUUGGCCUCUUGGCAUCAAUGGCGCCGCGGUACCACACGCCUGGACGCUACCCCACUCCCACGUCGCAGGAGGCCCUCCCCACCUCCACCUCCACGCAACGCCACAGCUCUCCUCGCCGCGCGGCAUCUCCACAGUUCUGUAGGUGUAGGGCACUCGCUCGGUCACUCCGGCUCGGCUCCAUCCCCACAAAGGCAGCCCGGCCGCCCGGCAGCUAGUCCAUUACUGCACCUGCUCCGGUUCGUUAGAUUUCGUUCCUAUUGUUCCCACCGCGCCGCGCGCGUACGUACGGCCGCCCGAUCCGUGGCGCAUCAUGACAAUCUAGCUCGUGAAAGCAGUCUCGCUGGGCUCGCGGCGCCAGUGAUCCUGGACCAAUUACGAGGCCAUCAUCAUCAUAAUCCGGCCUGCCGCCGGGGCCGCACGCCUCCAUCUGCCCCGUGCGCGUGCGAGCCAAAGUGCCAAACCGCUAGAAAUUACGAGGUAAUCAUGGCGCCGGCCGCAGCAUGCCCUACACCGGUGGCUGUGGCUGCCCGGUGUGGGGCGCCGGCGGCAGGGAAGGAGCAGCACGCGCGCGCGAGCGGCCUGGCCUUGCGCGUCCCUUUUACGGCCUGGCCUUUGCUACGCGAGGGUGUCUCGGCUCGAAUUUACGGGGGCGGGUGGGGAGCCGGGCCCCGCCGCUCCGGCGCGCUCUUUUUUGGCAGCGGCGCAGCGGAGCUGGCGGCAAAAGGGCAUCACGAGGCGGCGCCUAUGCAUCUCAGGGAGAGGCCGCCGACGCAGAGGGCCAGGCCAGGGACAGGGAGGCCUCGCCAAGUUGCCCUGUUCGGGCACAGCACGGGAGUCGUCGGCUUCUCCUGCCAGCAGCGACCGAGCCGGCGAGGUGUCCGUCCGUCGUGUUACUGUUACUGUGUUGUUAGGCCCUGACACUUUGCGAAGCGGCGGUGUCGCAGCUGUCGACUGUAGACGGAGCAAUACUGCAAGACGCGACGCUGAUCGACAGGAAACGCGACGCUGCACGACGUACAGGCUAGCUCGCGGCGAGGCGUGCAUCGAUCAGCCGUCAGCGAGAGGUGCGACGACGCUCCAUACUAUACUGUUACCGGAGUACACGACAGACGACACUACAGCAGCGGCGUCUCGUACGUUCGGAGAGCAGACGAGCAGAGAGACUGUGGACGAGAGCUCUCUCUGCGUGUGCAGGAAAGAGAAUGGGGCAGCGAGAGCCGAGCACCCCUGAUGGCUGAGGCCCUCCUGAUCAAAGCGCACACGGGCACCAACGCGAUGCGCCGUGGCCCAAGGCCAGCUUGGCAACGGCGACGGCCCUGCUGGCUGCUGCAAAGCUGUGUCGCAUCCGUGCAGAGCUCUCUCGCUCGCUUGGCCGCUCGUCUACACCCGUAGAUCGGAGCUGAGCGGUAGAGCCGUAGAGGCCAGGCUCGCCGAUCGACCCGUGCUGCAGGCAGAGAGGGGGCAGCCCGUGAGAAGACAAGCAAAAGGCACGCGCGCGAGAACGAAACGCAGCAGUGGACGCAUCCGCCGAUCGGGCUCCGCCCCGCCCGUGGACGAUGGACACAUCCGUGUCAAUCUCCUGUUCACUUACCCCGUCUCCCUGCGCUACUUUUGUACGUAUGCCACGUACAGGCCAGGCCACUUUGUACGUAUUUUCGCGGCUCGCAGUCUCGGUGUGUGUUACAGUUCGCGGGGUGGGAAUCACGAGGCGGCUGAUGGGAGUUACGAGCGCUGAUGACCUGACUGUCUGACUAGUUGGCUGGCUGACCGGCUCGCUGAACCGUGCAAUGCUUUUGUGGGGCAAAAGGAGGGCAGCGUUCCCUUGGUCCUAUGCGCGUGUCGUUUACACGAGACCGUGCCGGCAAAAAGAUGCACCGGCUCGGAGCCUCGGAGGGUUAAAAAGCGGAGGGGGUGCCUCUGACCGACUGACCCUCUGUUUCGUCGUCCAUGCUUUGAUGAGCAUUUGGACCAGGUUUUGUAUGUCCAACAUGUUUGGUCUAAUCAGUCGUGUCGGUUUUAGACCGGUCUUAGGUUUUUCUUUGGCGCUUGCAGGUACAGAUCGAACAUGGUUCAUCAUGGAAACCUUGGUUGGUCAACGUUUGCAACUUUUCUCUUUAUUCUUGUGAGCAUUCGUUUAUUGAGACAAUUCAUUCAUUCCAGAAGGCCCCUAAAGUUGGCCAUGGUACCAUAAGAAGUACUCCCUCCAUCCAUUUUUCUAGGGCGGAUGCUCUCGUACUCCAGAGACCAUGGCAGCGUUGGGGGCUUGCGCCAGCGUUUAAGCCAUACAUCGAUUUCCUUGCUGCGUUAAGCCACGUCGGGGAUUUUUGCAUGACCGCAUGCAGCGUCGCUUCGUUCCCGUGACCAAGGCUAUUUUGACGGGUACCGAGGGGACGGGCUGGCGAGAUACCGAGGGCGACGGGGCCGUUCCAAGGGCUGCGCACUACAAAUGUAGAGAAGUUGAUUUUCGUCAUCCGCCCUAGAAAAAUGGAUGGAGUACGUGUGGCAGCAAGGGGCGCACAUGUAAUUUGGUGCGUACAAUUUUGCGGGGCCAAUUUCUCACGAUGUACCGGUACAUAGCUUAAUAUACCAAGAAAAUAAAUCCGCUAAUGCCAGGAUUGUGUAGAUACAAUAUGCUAUGGAAUCUUUAUUGAACUAUAGUAUGGACACACGCAUUCACAUACAUGCACUUGCACUCAGCUCCCAUAAACGCCCACUGGUAUACAGGCAAAUUUUAAAAUUUAUAAAGUCACAUCAACAUCGGAUGCAUCACUUACCACUAAAAAAUAGUUGGUGGAAAUACAAACACCAAUUAAUACUAAGUUAGAAACUUGAAUCUGGGCAAGCACCCUUCAUAAAAAAAAACAUAAUUAAUUGAGUGAUGUUCAUAUAUUUGCAGACACAUUAGUUAUUAUAAGUGCAUGUUUGUUUUCACGUUUUAAUUUCUAAAAUCUAAAAAAAAUAGAUUGUAAUCUUAUCUCCAUCCAGCAUGUAUACAUUAUAAAAGAAAACUCAUGCAAUUGCCAUCAUAAGAAAAAUUAAAAAAAAUAGACAGAUGGGUUCAAAAUCCUCUUCAACCUUUGACCAAGCUCCAAUCCUUCUAACCUCUCACUCAUGGCGUGAAAAAUCGAGACAGCUCUACUGUAGGGGCUUGAGCCCCCACCAAUGAUUGCCAUAUGUGUCACUACUCCAUUCAUACUCCCCCCUCCCCUCCCUCCACACUCCACCAAAACUUCGAUUAUAUUCAAUUCAGUCGAAAACGAUGAUAGUUGGAUAACCCUAGCACAUUUGUCUAAGUUUCCACCAGAGUGGCAAGCAUCCUCCGAAGGAGGUGCCCCCAGCUCGUCGAUGCGCCUUCCAGAUGACCCGCAAGGCACCACGUGAGUGUCGCCCAAUUUUUUUGUUGUUAACCUUUCAUCGACCUAGCCACAUCAUUCUAAAGUCCGUUGGCGGCCACAAAGCUUCAUUGAACAAGUUCUCAUCAUCGAGGAAGGCGAAGUCGUCUCUAGCAAAGAAUACAAAUCCACCAAACCACUAGUUAUGCUGAAUCGUUGAAUCUCCUCGUGAACACUCCUACACCGCACACGUCUUCGUCAUAUGAUUCGAAAUAUAAGUCCAUGUAGCUAUUUUUCCUGGAUACAAUAAGCACUUACUCCAUAUCUUCUCCUACUUAAAUAAAAGCAACAAGUGAUUGAUGGUAAGAACAUUACACCAAAUUAGCCAAUACUACUUGGGAUCAAACAUCGAAGGAAGUAGGAUUUUCUAAAAAAAAAUGUAUAUAAACUUGAACUUUGAUCGUCGGCAGGUCAAAUCGGGCACCAUAUCGACCUCUCAUGUGUAGCACCAUGAAUGUCUGCAUUACAAUCACCGUUUGGGUGUAUUCUCCAUUUGCAAGAGGCCUGAAUUUUGUCUAAUACUCCUGUUACACAAAUAAAAGAAAAGAGAAACACACUCAUAUCAUAUGAUUUCAUAAUCAUCCGCGCGGUGGUAUACUGGUACUGUUCAUAUUAUUUGCGAAGGCACCGACACCAACCACCGUACCACAGAACACUCAUGCUCCUACUCAAAUUACCACCCGGCAUCAUUAUUGCCGAACCUUCUCAAAUCACACAUGGCACACCCCGCACACACCCAAGGACCCAACCCAACGAACCCAAUCGCCCGGCGACCACAUGAGAUGACCCCCCCCCCCCCCCCCCCCCCCACCCCCCACCCCCCCGAUUGGAUGGUGAGGCCAACCCCAGACCCAUUAUUAGCACCGUUAGAUCACCCCCGGUCCUUGGGCACGCCGGAUGCCGGAGCGCCCCUGAUCGACUGCUGUAGCAUGGUCGCCAUGGCCGAUGGUCCCGUGGUGCCGCUCGGUCACGCGCGCUGGAGCCUGGAGCGUGGGGGGUAUCGGAGAUCUUGUUCCCUUUGGCCGUGGUGUUACUGUUACGGCCGCGCGCGUCGGGACAAGACCGGGCGGGGACAAGCGGUUCCAGGCUUGGGGGAGAGUGAACACGCAGCAAGACGGCAAAUUAGCAAAAGGCCCCGGUGGUCCGGUAGAAAAAACCACAGCAUGCGCCCAAGCGAUCCCGAUCGGAUUCGGCUCGACUCGACCUGCCCGUGGAUCGAUAACGGAAAAGCGCCGGAUCCCAGUUGUUGUGGCUGGUCCUCGGCCUGCGUUUUGACUGCACGGUCUUCAAAUGUUACCUUGCGCUGGCAUGGGUUGCGAUGGACGUGAUGUCAGGAGCCCGUGUUUACGCCGCUAAUCACCAGCGUUUUGGCCUCAUCCGGCGGCACCCCAUCAAUUAUUGUGCAGAUGUGCUGCUGCUGCUGCUGCUGGACUGCCGGUAACAAACUCUUUGUUGCGUACCGCUUGAAUGAAUGAAUUGAGAAACAUUAUUAAACGCGGGCGGGCGUACCGAACGAAUCUUGGCGACCACCGCGCCCGUGCGUGCGUGUUCCCCGAGCCGACGGUACAGGACCAAAACGCUCGUCUUGUUGCGUUGUUGCACCGUUGCACGGCACCGAGAAUCCCUGGCUGGCUUCCUGUGAGCUGGGAGACCGUGAUGUUCGUUUGGCUUUGGUACCCUGGCCGAGCCACGAUUUUGUCCCGGAUGCAGGGCAUGGGAAUGCGUCGAGAUGCCUUUUUCCGGCCGGCCCGAUAGAGCCGAGCACGUACGCCCCGUCCCGUCGCCAUCGUUGCCGGAUGCCCGGACGAUGGGACGUGCAAGUACGCCGUCCCUGGGGAGAACCGGUGCCAACCCCCCCCCCCCCCCCCCGCGCGCGCGCGCGCGGUGAGCGAGCAUGUUGCUCGCGGCGGCAUUGAUGGUCCGUGAUGACAAGUUGGCUCCCGUGUUGGCCCUCUUUGAUCGAUCGGUGAUCCACGCCACACCACACGGGCGCUGCCAUCAUUUCUCGCAAGGCAAGUGCACGCGCCAAGUUGCCUCUGGACUCUGGACGCAUGCAUGGAUCAGGCACAGCAUCGAGCUACGAUUCGACGAACCUGAACGGGACGCGGUCGCCGCCGACCCGGAACCGGAGAUCUCCAUUCUGAACAGGGUUGCUACUAGAUCUGUCGCCGUGGAGCCGGCGUGCACGUGUUUAUUGUUUCGCCGGCCACGAGGAGCGCGCAGGGGAGAGGUGGAUACGUGUCUCGGCAGCGGCACAUGGGGCUGGCCGCGCCGUCUCGAUCGUCCACCGCCGCGGGCCGGACCGGCGGCAAGGUAACAUGCGGCCGGCCGGGGCAGACGCUAGAAUACACCACUGGUUCUACAGGACACAUGUGCUAAUUAAAGAUUAAUUAGAUUUAAUAGAUUCUUCUCACGAAUUAACCCUUAUUUAUGCAAAUUAUUUUUGUUGUUAGAUUAUAUUUAAUACUUCUAAUUAGCAUCAAACAUCCUAUUUAACCCGAGCUAAAUUUUAGUUCAGAAUCAAACAUCUUCAUGCACGUCUGGUCCGUCCCCUACGGCUACAGCCUACAUGCAGGGCAGAGGGCAGUAGCCACGUUCCCGGGUUCAUUGUUCAGUCACCCACGUCCACGGUCCACGCCACGCCGCUCCGGCCGUCCGGGGGCUCCAACAGUGUGGCAAGUGGCAACACGAACGCUCGUACCGUCGUCACCAGCCGGUCACCAGCGUAGGUACAAGAAUACUUUUAUCACCGACUCUCUCGCCUCGCCGCCGUUGAAAGGAUUUCCCGUCUACGGCCGCCAUGAUUGUGCACGAGACGAAGACGAAGCUGGACAUUGCCUCCUCUCGUCUGGUCACGCUCAAGGAAGUCACUAUGGACAUGAUAAACAAAACAAACAAACGAAGGUAAGAUCAAAUCAGAGCACGAAGGAAGCUCGGCUUCGCUGCCGUGCCGAGAGGAGGAGGGAUCGAGCUGUCUGUCUCGUGAAGCUGAAAGAAGCACGGCAGCGGCUGGCCUGCUGGCCUUUUUGCACGCCCGAUGCGGAGCCGUCAGGCGUCCAGCCCAUGAUUCGCGAAAUGUUGCCGCGGCGGAGCGGCGCAUGGGUUGGAGCCACGGUCCAUGGACCGGCCGGCUGCCGCAGUGACGCCGCGCCGCUGCCCAGCUCCACUGGCGAGUGCGCCGCGUCCAUGGCAGCAAUGGGCCAGCGAAACCACGCGAGGUGGCCAGGUGGGGAAGGUGCCUGACUGCCUGCGACGUCUGCGCAGCAAGGCGAAGCUUGCUGCUUUUACCUGCCCGGCCGGCUACCAGGCUGCCAGAGGCCCAGAGGUGGAGCACGAGAGAGACGAACGGAGCUGCUCCGUGAGCACGGUCCAUGGACGCGUACGGGGAGGUUAGGCUGGCAGCUGGCACGAGCCGCGGCUAGGGAGGCGCGCCACGAAGGAGGCCUGGAGAACCGGACAGGACCGGACCUGCGCGCGCACCUAACUCCCCGUACGGUCCCGAGGCCGGACCGCAACGCGACAAUCCACCCCGUCCCAUCAUCCCGUCGACGCAAAAGCCCCCAAAUCUAAUCGCUGUCCGGUGCUAAUCAACGCGGCAUCUAACCUAAUCUAAUCCGAACCCAUCCGCAUCCCGCCCCCCACGCGCGAAACCUACGGCUCACCCCCAACGUGCUCUUUGGAUGGAAAUGGCCGCGGCGGCGCGCACCCACCCGCCGCUGCCGGCCUCUCUGUCUGGCCGGUGGUGGUGGUGCUGGAGGUCAGGAGGUGGCCAGGUGGGUGUUGGCUGCUGCUGGUGGCCGCCGAGUCCGCCUCGGAGACCACCACCGCGCCGAGCCGUCUCGUCUCGUCUCGUCCUCGCCAACCAGCACCAGCAUGGCCGCUAGUGCCGGUCCAACUGACGCGCACAGCAUCACAGAGAGGGCUGAACACGGACGCUCUUUGACGACCUAAUGAUGCUGUUCCUUCUGCUUUUCCAUGCUCUUGGUACCACAAGUCCACAACCUCGCAACCUUUCUCGAUCUCCUGCUGUUAAACCAUGCGUUUUGUUCUCGCUUGCAUGCGCAUCCCGGCAUACGAGCGCGGCGUUUUCUCGUAGCCCCUGCUUCCACUUCCGUCCACCCGCGGUCCCGUGCCUCUUGCCUUGCCUCCUCCAAUUUUGGCAAAAAGAGGAAAUCACAGAGAAGAAAAGACCUUUCCUGUGAUGAAGACGUCAGAUUAAUUGCCACUUUGCCGUGGCACUGUACUGUUAUCCCUGGGAGUCUAGCAUUUCGCCUCCUACUUUGCUGCAAUGCAAUGGCCAUGACCGUGCAGAUGGUAGGAGCUGGUGGUGCGCGAGGACUGUCUCGUGCCGGCCUGCGAAAACGAGAGGUGGCGCUACUGGUCGCUGUUGCGCUUGCGCCACCUAACAAAGGCACAGAGGCCGGAUAGCUCGCACGGAGCUCUCCUUCACCUACCUGCAGCGACGCACGCUCUUGACAUUCUCUGGUUUUCCUUUUUCCUUAAUUUCUGUUUUUUUAAUAAAAUAAUUUCUGGUUUCUAGCUUUAUAAGACAUGGUAUAACUUGGUACAGUCUUCUAAAUAACACUUUGACCAUUCAUUUUAUCUUAUCUUAUAUUGUUUAUAUUGUUUAUGUUUAUAAACUUGUAAUCAUUGUAAGAGUAUAUUUGAUUACAAAUCUAACCAUAUAAAGUUUACAUUAUAAAAAUAAAAAAUUAAUAGUUAAAUUAUUGGUUAAAGAUUACAAAUUUUAACGUUUAUAAAUCAAAACGGAGGGAGUACUUUUUUUUUUAAAAAAAUAAUCUGUAUUUUAUUUGUGAUCAGACCGUAUAGUACAUUCUGCUGACAACAAUAGCUUCGUACUCUAGGUCUCUAGCACAUACAAGCGACAAUAAGACGCAAGAUGGCCGGAUCACAUGACAUCACUGUUGUCCACCGGCUAAUAUUGUGAGACGGUGAUUAGCACUGGCCUCCUGAGCUGUAGCGCCAUGAUGGUGGUGCGGCUGCUUCAACUUUGCGGCAUGGCUCAUCAAAGUGGCCGGCGACGGCCGCCGGUCUAAUUGCCACCUGAAUCGCCAUGUGGGGAACGAACCUUCUCGAGACAAAUUUUAUUUCGGAAAAGCGCUAAAGUCGCUUCUUUUUGUAAUAUUUGUUAAUUGGCCUUCUCUCCUAAGGAAGAGUUUUAGAUCCACUCCUUUUACUUUUUUGAAUAAAGAAAAGGAAGAGGUUUUGGAUCCACUUCAUGCCAUGGUGGAUUGAGCAUUGGGCACUAGAACACAUCGACAUACUGAUGAACCAUGCAAUACCUUACAUUUACAGUCCUCGAUGUCAUGAAAACAUAUAUUAGCUUUGAAAACAUAUAUUAGCUUUGAUUUCUUCGUCGGGUGUUACCAUCAAAAAAAGUCACCCGGUGGACGGUGGCAAUGUGAUAACCAUAGUGGUCACACAAAAGGAUGCUAAGUUUCUCAUCAACAAUGCUAUCUGUAUUUGGGGAGCCUGGGAAAAAUCACUAUCACCUUAUCACAACUUUGCGCAAAAGUAACAUAUUUGUAUUAUGGAUCCCAUCGGCUCGAAAAACUUUAUAAAUAAGUCGGUAGUAUUUGUGGGAGUUUUAGUUACUCGCUUUAUUUGAUUUUCGAAUUUACACAUCUCCCAAAUGUGAAUAGCAAGUGUUAUAAUGUUGUGCAAUAGGACUUGUAAAAUAUCGCCAGUAGUUCAUUUCAAGGAACGCAUUUCGCCAUAAACUCAUGCUUGCGGGAUCACCAUAUUUAGACCCCUUCUCGUUUUGGAUUAUGACAUGCACAUCAGCUAGCUCAAUUACAUUACACUAAUAAAUUUUGGUAGUUGGAGAAAAUGAGUUAUGUUUAGACCCUGUUUAGCUGAGCUAGGCUCCUUUGUUUGGAUUAUUAUGAGUUUGCUGACCUCUUCUUGCCUUCUCACUGCUAGUCAAAAUACUCCCUCCGUUCAAAAAUGAUACGCGUAUUUUGACCCAAAAAAAUUCAAACUUUGCAAAUUUUAACUAAUAAUUAGUUAAAUUAUAAGCAUAUUUAGUAUAAAAAUUUGCAUCAAUAUAUUUAUACUCGAAGACUUUUUGAGAUGAUAGAGUCUUUAGCAAUUGACAUUGUAUUAUAAGAGAAAUUAAAAGCUAAAAAUCUACUUUGAAAUAUGUUUUCCUAUUUCAAAUACAUCUAUUACUUCAAAGAGGGAGUAUGUGAAGAUUUAGGCAUUGUCAUGGUCUAUAUGGUACGGUGUGCACCAUUUUUAUGCUACAUUAUAAAAUUUUAAGCACGGAUGACUAAACUUUUCCAUGAUAAACCUUCGGGGGGAACAUUUAUCUCACAUUGUUGAUCUUUACAAUUUUUUAAUAUACUAUAGCAUUUUUUUAAAAAAGUUCCCUUGCAUUUUUUUGAAAAAGUUUAAGCUUAAACGAUAAAUUUUAAAUAUGGCAGUAUAUUUUGCAUAGAACUUUGUGUCUCUCCGUUGGUUUAUCUUAAAUUUCGUCAUAUUGGAUUCCAAUAUAUGAAGCGGAUGCCAUCCAUAAACCAACAUAAAACUACUACUCCUACUCCUAUAGUAACGCGCAUGAUCAAAGUGAUUAACAACCAAAAUAAACCCGAUAGACGGUUACCAGUUGGGCAUGGAUGUAUCCACAGGAAUUGCAGCAACCGUUCAAAGCCCUUAAUUGCAAGCUCCUAUUGGUACAAGAUUUUCGCAUGAAUCUUGAUGGCAUUAAACACCGGAAUGGGGCUCUAGUCUAUCCUCCCGAUCCCAAAAGGGCGCGGAGAUAUAUCUGAAGAAGAAACAAUCCAGGUCCACCUCAUCUGCCGGAAAGCGAACGCGCCACGUUUUCAGGCGAUAAAAAUCAUUCCUUCGGCCCAUCUCUCUCACGGAGGACGGAGGAGUACCCAUCUCUCCGCAACAAAAGCAACGUCGUCUCGAUCGUCUACGGCUGUACGCGUAUGCAUGUACAUACAGGGUUUUGUACUGUGUAUCUGCGGAUAAAAAUACGGUUAUAUAGGAGCCGAGAGCCAGUGCCCACCUCCCCCUUCCAGUUACCAGCCGCAGAAGGAGCAAACUGAGAGGAGACACAGAGGCACAGGAGGAGAGAGGUGGGGGAGCAGGGGAGGAAAGAGAGAAAGCUCCAAUCUCUCGCCUGCCCUAGCUGCCGAGAUUCUUGAUUGAUUCCAAAACAAAAAAAUGUGAGUUUCUUGCUCUUCCGUGAGAGAUUUACCUUGUUUUGCUUUCGUCUUUCCAUGGUUCCUGGAUCUGUUUUGACCAACGAUUUACCGGAGGUGUUUCCGGGGUGGGAGUGGUGGUAGUAGCUUCGCCGUUGGUGUGUUUGUUUUCGGUUCUGGCGACGGAUUCGAGCUGUCAUGUCAGGCUUGAUCUUUCGUUUUUAUUCUCUCCGAGUUCCUGCGCCGAAAUAAAUGAGGGGGCGCUGCUGAUACAUGCUGUUUCUCUGGGUGGAAUUUAUGGCGACGCUGCUUUUAGUAGUAACCAAUGCAGGUUCUUCUUCAGGUCCUGGAAACUGCAAUCUUUUUUUGGCCCCGAGAUUUGGUCCUCUGCUCCGUUUCUUCCUGCUCAGAUCUGUGGCGCAGGGUUCGCCCUGCCGCGCUACCAAAUGCGCCUUCUUUUUUACGGCUGCUGCAGCGCACUGAUCAUUCCGAGUGUUUCUCCUGCAGCGGGUGGAGAUUGAAGAGUGGCCAUUGGAGCGCGACGUCUGAGCUGAGCUAUUGUGGAACGCAAAUUUGUCGACGAAGAUGUCAGGUAAGGGGGAGAACGGGUUCGUGUUCUUGGUUUCUGAAGUUUUCAUCGUUUUCUCUUGGGAUGCUUUGUGAUGAUUAACGCGGCGCCGUGCCAAUGUGUUGCUGCAGUGAGCCAUGCGGAGGACAUCGAGAUAUCGCUGUGCGACGGCAACUCGGAGGACGAGCGGCGGCGCCGCAAGAUCGGCUCGCUGCGGCGCAAGGCCAUCCACGCGCUCAAGAAGCGCGGGAGGCGGCGCGUCGACUUCCGCUUCCCGCCGGCGGCCAUCUCCAUCGAGGACGUCCGCGACGCCGAGGAGGAGCGCGCCGUCGCCGCCUUCCGCGACCGCCUCAACGCGCACGGGCUCCUCCCCGACAAACACGACGACUACCACAUGAUGCUCAGGUCUUGUUGCGCGGAACAAAAAGCUCCGCUUCCGUUCAUUGCCUCUAUUUGGAUAGCUUUUGUGAAAUGCUAGGAUCUAAACAUGCCAGACAAAUGUCUUGCCGCAGGUUCUUGAAAGCCAGGAAGUUCGACGCAGAGAAGGCUAUGCAGAUGUGGGCAGACAUGCUGAAAUGGAGGAAGGAAUUCGGAGCGGACACGAUCCUUGAGGUGAUCACUUUGAACUGCGAAACAAACCCGGGAACUAGUAGUUUUUCGUAAGUAUUUGUUUGGUUCUUUUCCGAUGAUUAAAUUCGCUGCUGGGUUCAUGUCUUCAGGAUUUCGAGUUCGAAGAACUGGAUGACGUGCUGCGCUACUACCCUCAGGGCUACCACGGUGUCGACCGUGAGGGCCGGCCGGUGUACAUCGAGAGGCUCGGGAAGGUGGAUCCGAACAAGCUUAUGAACAUUACCUCGACGGAUCGCUACAUCAAGUAUCAUGUCCAGGAGUUUGAGAGGGCCUUCAGGGAGAGAUUCCCAGCCUGCACAUUGGCCGCUAAGAGGCACAUUGACUCUACCACCACCAUCUUGGACGUCCAGGGUGUGGUAUGUGAAUGAUUUCAUUCUGAACUGUGCUUGCAGAAUGCAGAUCUUGUUUUGUUGUCUCUUCAAUUUGCUUGCUGUCUACAGGGCCUUAAGAAUUUCUCCAAGACUGCUAGGGAACUUAUUAACCGAAUGCAGAAGAUUGACAGUGACUAUUAUCCUGAGGUAACUUUACUUUUAAUGAUAUUCAGUUGUUAGUAUUUUGGCCCGGUGAACCACUCAAGUUUAUUGUGAUAAAUGCAGACAUUACAUCAAAUGUUCGUCGUUAAUGCGGGCAGUGGAUUCAAGUGGAUCUGGAACAGCGUGAAGGGCUUCCUUGACCCAAAAACUUCAUCCAAGAUACAUGUAAGUUCUUGAAAUUAUGUUCCAUCCUUAGAGGUCAUCUGUUUUGGUAUAACAAUCAUAGGUUUCUUUCUUCUGUAUGUAGGUUCUUGGUUCGAACUACCAGAGUAGGCUUCUUGAAGUAAUAGAUUCGAGGUAAAGAUAAAUACAACUAUGCAUUCAUCUGAACAGAUUCUCAAGUUAUUUUGAAGCUUCAGUUUUUGACUUUUGUUGAUACUUUUAUUUUCUCAGUGAGUUGCCAGAGUUCCUUGGUGGUUCAUGCACAUGCAGCGAUAAGGGUGGUUGUCUUGGAUCAAACAAAGGGCCUUGGAAUGAUCCUUACAUAUUGAAGGUGCCAUUUUCAGCAUUGUGUUUACCUGAAUAUAUUUUGGUUGAUAUGUUGUCCUUGUUUUUCCUUGUACUGAUAAAUAUAUUAUUUGUAGCUGAUACACAACUUGGAAGCUGGAUGUGUGCGGGAAAUCAAACCUGUUUCUGAGGGGGAGGAAAGAAGCUGCUCUUCUUUUCGAUUGGAACAGUUGAAAGUAAGCUUGUAAAUGACAUUCUUCAUUCGAUUAUUGCAGCAAGCAGAUUGCUUCUCUGGAUUCUUGUUCUAAGCUAAUAUAUUUGUCUCUUUCAGUGGCAGGGCAUGUUAAGUGAUACAUCAAAUGCUGAAUCAGGAUCUGACAUUGAUGAUUUUGGCCCAUCAUUCUUUCAAAAAGUUUCUGACUAUGGUUGCCUGACUCCAGUUCGUGAGGAAGUAAGUUUAUCCUUAUCUCUUUUCUUACUGUUGGAUUUGAUUUUCCCUGUUCUCUUAGUCUUACAAACUGCAUUUCUUGUGCCGUUUCAUUGUGUACAUGGUACCUUUCAGCAUAUUGAUGUUUUGUAUUUAUUUCUGCCGUAGGUAAAGGGCACAGAUUGUGCAACAUACUUCAGCUGUGACGAUCAGGGUCACCCGGAUAUGGCUCCUGAAUCUUACCGCGGAGUGCGAAGAACUCAUGAAAUGGUGCAGAAACCAAUGGCUGAUUUUGGGCCAUCUUCCACCAACACUAGGCCUCAUGAUCUCGGUAUCUUCUUUUCCUCUCAUUUUGGUUAAAUAAGUUCUGAAUCUAUAAUUGCUAGCUAACAUGUUAUACAGUGUAAGGACAUUGAAGAUUGUGUACCACUUUCUCAUUUCAUAUUAUGUUAUUGCUCCGCAACCAUGAAAUUUCUAUUUGCAUGAAUUAUUAGUAGUUGUUAUUGUCUGAACACUGCCAGUCAUUAGUUCUCGGGAGUUGGGACCACAGGCCUCCCAAACACUAGUAAAUGAUAGUGGACUUGAUGGUGCUUAGAUGGUCAACAUUGACAUAAUAUGGCUAGAGGACUGAAGUGUGGCUUAGAUGGUUGGCCUCAUGUAGGACACGCAUUUGCUGUGAUGUAUACUUAAUGUGUUGAAUUGAUUCAUGCUAGACUUUCAUUGAUAAAUAUAUCCUGGUGAAUAAUUUUCAUGUGUUCUACUGCUUGAGUGACCAAAAAAAAAACUUAAUUCAUUGCAGAACGGAGUAUAUGAUUUUUAAUGCUAGUUUGCUAGGCUUAUUUGUUGUGCACCUCUGGUUCUAAUAAUAUGCUUAAUUUGAUUUCUUUCUAUGAUUCACUCCAUCUGAGUUUAUUUUAUUAUGCAGUACAUCAUAGAAGAACCUUUACCUUCAAGAAGCAAACCUGUCUUUUCUUUACUGCCGCUGCAGCAGCCAUCGCUAACCUUUUCUUUUUAAUGAUUGGCAGGGAACAAUGCUCUUAAUGUGGAUGGUACAAUUGCUCCAAGGGGAUGGGAAAACAUGAUCAAACUUGUAGUCACAGCCUUGAUCAAGCUCUUUUCCUUCAUCCGGCUUUUCAUCUCUAGAGCUGAGAGGAGGCUUGAGAUCGUCCAUCGUUCUGCUCCUCCAGUAAUCCAAGCAGCUGAGAAGCCACGGCCUCGGACCGUCAGUGAUGAAGAGAUGUGCGCCUGCUUACAGCGUCUGGACAAUCUCGAGUCCUUGUGCAAUCAUCUCGCCACGAAACCACCACAGAUCCCAGAAGAUAAGGAACUCGUACUGUUGAGCUCAUUCGAGCGGAUCAAAUCUGUUGAGGCUGACCUGGAGAGGACCAAAAGAGUAAGUUCUUAUAGUUUGCUAUGCAAAUCUCGGUUGUGCAAUGUAUCGACUAUCAUGGUAUAGUGAUUGAUCAUUUGAAUACUCACAUUUAUGAACUCUGCACCAUUAGAGCUAUUUCACCAUCUAGCUUUUAGUUGACCUGAUUGUUCUUAUUGCAGCUUAUUCUCCUGACGGCUCACUAUUUGUGCAUUGAGUCUUAAAUUUAACAUUGCUUAUUGCAUGUCAGGUGUUGAAUGCCACGGUGGCGAAGCAGAAGUCACUGGUGGAGGCUCUGGAAUCUGUACAGGAGUCGUCUAGAGUUAGGGUACGUGUACUGGAAACAGUUUGUUACAACAUCGUUUGCCAAUCCUCUGGACUGAAUUACAUACUACUCACUAUAAAUUGUUAUAAGCUGAACACCAACCCUUUCUUUGUGCAGAAGAGGAUGUUCUGUUCAUAGGAUAUGGAGGAGCACCAGAUCCGGACCAUGCCGUCGACAUUAACCAACCGUGAAGCUGACGUGUGAAGCCGCCAAUGCCAUUUUUGACCUCGUUGACUUCAGCCUCAUCCAAGAAAAAGAAACAAAGAAACCUCGGAAUUCGAAAGAGAAGAUCGCAACCCCUGUUUGCUUCCUUUCAUUCCCCAUUUUGUUCCCCUUCUGCGCCGUGCCAAGCCCUAUGUUUUGUUUUGCUUGGCCAAGUCGUCCCACGGCCUCGCAUCCAGGGCCGAGAGCUGAGGUGACGGUGAAUUGCUUACGAAUUGCUGAAGCUGAAGUUGUACUGACCCUGCGGCUGGAGCUGUAACAAAGACAUUCUCCAGAUUGAUGUUAAUGCCCGUGCACAUUCCGCCUCUGAUUCUGAUGAUUGGCUAAUACAGAUUAUGACAUGGUCCGUUGAAUUCUCAUUUGCUUUGUACUGGCGUUUGUGUUCGUUUUUUUUUUUGAUAAAACGUUUGCGUUCGGUUUGAGUUCGACACAGCGUCACGGUGCCCUGCUGGCUGUUAUAGUGGUAGGACUAUCUCUGGCCCAGAGCGAUUCGUGUGCAGGUCCCGGUGGUCCUGUGCGCGUGCGUUCUGCUUCACGCUCUUGUUCACUGAGCUAACCUGCGCCGGGACAUGCUCUGAUUUGCCUCAACAUCUCUUAUUAGUUGUUAGCUGGCUGCCUGGCUCCAGGUCCAAGGACGCGAACGGCUGAACUCGGCUACAUGCUCUAUGUGUGAUCCAUUGAUCUUCCUGCCUGUCCAAACUCCAAACACCAAGUUGAUCGCACCAUUUAACGACAGUCAUGGCGUCAUCUCACUUUAAACACCUCAACCUCAUCGUCAACAUGAACCUCAUCUCGUGGCUAGGCGUCCGCGGGGGGAAGUCCUCUGUCGGAGUUCAAAGCGUGGUCAGCCGGUGUUCUGUACUAGGCAUGAAUUAGGCCUCUGUCUCGCCAGUGUGUUCUUGGCAAAGCAAAUUGUUCAGUAAAUGGCGGCACGCUGGAAGAACGAACGGCUGGCCUGCGGGCUGCGGAGUGUUUCUUCAUGCCUGAUCGGACUGAGGUGUUGACGUGGCAAUAUAUAGCUCACACGGUUCAAGCCCUACUCAUGGGCUGAUGCUAAUCAGCUAAUGUAUCCCAUGGAUAUGCUGCAACCUCUGAGAUGGAGAUGCAAGGCGUACAAGGAAACAGCGAGGCCUCUCGGCGGUGUCGUGCUCCAUCAGACCGUCACCGACUUGACCGAGAACGUAAAAGUCGAUGGUGACGGCAAAGUUCACCGGAGAUCGAAAGAAAAAACUCAUCAGUUUCUACUCUAUUCCUACUCCUAGGAUUUUGGCGACAGGCCACCGGAAAAAGUAAAUGUUGUAUUAAUAGAAUUGAUGAUUCUCCCAUUACAACGCCCUGGGCUUAUUUAUACCCUGGAGCAAGCUAAAGUCCUAAUCGGUUACGACAUGAACUGUUACAAUGAUUCUAAAAACUAACUAAAAUAAAUCUCCACGCUUUUCCAUAUUUGGUGGAGACGUCAUAUUUGUAUCGGACUCUUUCUCCUGAUUCCAUCGGCUCUUGGAACCUUCUCACCAUUGGUUGACUGGUCAAAACCGGUGUCAACACAAACACAUGGUUCUCCUUCAAAGCAUCUUUAAACCACCACCUCCGGUCUGAUUCUCGAAAACCCCCGCCUUACAUGGUAUUAGAUCAUGUCACGAUCCUACCUAUCAGUGCAAGCAGUCUAAGGACAUGAACAUAAAGCACAUGCCUAACUGUUAUGAUAGAUCAUGCAUGCAAUUCUAGUCACCAUGACUACAAGAAUAUCCUAUGCAAUCUACUACGUCCAUAGAUUGGAAUAAGCAAACUCGUAUAUGGAUCGUUAUUGAAUUGGAGCUCAUCUAUUACUUCACCAUGAAUAAUUGUUCAUCACAAGAUCUCCACCGAGGCCAUACACGUGAUUUGUGAAUCCUAACUCCAUAACUCCGGUGUGGAUCUUCCAGGCAGGGUGAUCACGCUGGCCAGAGCAUAGUCUAAGCUAGCCCUCGGACAACUACACGGUCCUCAACUCUCUGUAGAUGGUUGUCCCCUAAGUUCUUCGGCUUCUGCUGCUUCGAAUCUGAAUUGUCUCCAUUGAGGGUGCCUAGGGAUCAUAUUUAUACCCUUGGGAAGCCUUGGGACGUACUUCACCUUCCCUUGCACGAGCUCCUUGCUUGAGAGUUAAGCAAACCUUAUUUCUAUAAAAUCUCACUCGUCCAGAAUUUUCUUUUACGCAACCCUUCCUUCCCAACAUCAUAUCUCCCACGUCUGAACUCCAAAUAGGGUAAAUCCGAUGCCUAAAUUGUGUAUAACAUGAAAAUAUCUUCAACUUUGGUAUUCAUUUCUUUUCCUGGAAAUGAAGUUAAGGUCCUAAAAUAGUGACGGGAGAUAAUAUGUCUGUUUCGAACUUCUCAGCACAGCAUGGAUUUCGAGGGUCAUAUCUCCUAGUUUCAUAAUUGAAUUUAUGCUUUUCAUAUGUUCAAAUCGAAGCCCUCAACGAUGGCUACAACUUUGGUAGUCAAAUUUCCUUCAUUAGAGGUCGUUUAAGUCUCCGAAUUUGCACCGAAAGAUCAUGCUAUCUUGGGCUACGCGAAUAUCUUUAGGGUUGACUUGAUCUCGUGGAUAACUUUCCAAAACUCCUAUUUCUUCAUGCUUAAGUCUCAUUAGCCUGGCGUUCACUGUGGGUUGGGCUGUGAAAGCACACAUGAUCCAUUAGGUGGUCACAUGGACUUCCUCAACUGGGCUCGAUUCCUUUGGGCUUGUGCUUCUAGGUGGGCUUUGUGCAAAUCAUCCAAUUUUGCAUGUAUUUUCUAUCAUCUUGCAAUACGAUCCAAAAUACAAGACACAUGCGAAUAUGGAGUUAUUUUAGAUGCCAAGUGACGAGUUAGUAUAAUAAGUAGUCGAAAAACACUACUUAAAUAGCACUAAAAAGAUGGCAAUAACAAGCGACAACACCCUCCACAAAAAAGAACCCACUUGGGACCUAGCAUGAGGUGGAGUUCCAUUCUUGUAAAUACAAUUCCAAUUUAAAUGUACCCAAGGCUAAUCCAUCUUGUUGUAAAAUUCGUGGAGGAACUUGAGUAGGAGAGCAAUGUUUUGAGUCAUGAGGUUGAUAAUACCUAGGCCACCUUCCUCUUUACUUAUGCAGGCAUGUUUCCAUGCAACAAGGCAGCCACCUUUCUUGGAUAAAUCACCACCAUUCCAUAAACAUGGCUUUCUGUAUUUGUCCAGCUUCUUAAUUAUCUCCACAGGAAUUUUAAGGGUACACAUGUAGAAAGUUGGCAAGGCUGAGUAGAUAGAGUUAGCCAAAACUAAUCUCCCUACAUAGGAAAGCAUUCUAGAAAUACCUAUGAGACGUCUCUUCGUUCUUGUCAGGAUAGGCAUGAAUUCAACCACUGCAGGCCUAGUAGUGCCAAGAGGUAGGCCUAGAUAUGUAAAUGGUAUUUGACCAACAUGACAGCCAAAGGCCUAUGUUAGGAGCAUCAUCUUAGAUUCCUCAACAUUAAUUGGGAUCAUGUAAUUAACCUUAAGACAUGUGUAAGAUGCAAAGAAUUGCAAGAUGCUCUUAAGUUUUUGAAGUUGUUUUGCCUCAGCUGGGAGAAUGAGCAUAGUGUCAUCAGCAUACUGCACUAUAGAGAAGUCACUACCAAAGUCUGGACCAAGAGGAUGUCCAAGCAAAUUUCUCUUAGCUGCGUCAUUAAUAACUGACUGGAGAAGGUCCGUAGCUAUCACAAAGAGGAUAGGAGAUAGGAGGAUCACCUUGCCUAACCUCCUCUUGUAUUUCAAAGGUUUUCCAAGGACUCUAUUUAGCAACCUCGAGGAUGAACCCGAGCAAAGAAUGCCCCUAAUCCAUGAAACUCACUUAUCAGAGAAACCUUUAUGUUGUAGAACCUGUAAGAUAACUUCAUGUUCAACUUUAUCGAAGGCCUUCUCAAAGUCAAGUUUAAGAACCACAAUCUCUUUUUUAGAUUUGCGGCUGAUAUGAAGAAACUGGAAAGCCUAUGCCAUACAAUCUUGUAUUGUUCUCCUUUUUAUGAAGCCAUAUUGGUUGUUAUGAAUCACCUGAAGAAUUACUUACUCUCUGCAAUCUGUUUGCCAACAAUUUGGUCAAAAAACUUAAGCGAGCAGUUGAGUAAAGAGAUGGGUCUGCAAUCAUUACAUGUCUAGGGUUAUCCUUCUUAGGAAUCAAGGUGAUCAGGGAACCAUUGAUUCUAGAGAUUUCCAAGUUACCUGAAGCAAAAUUGAUACAAAGCCUAAUAAAAUCCUCCUUGAUAAUGUUCAAGCAUUUCUUGAUAAAGACACCAUUGAAACCAUUAUAUCCCGGGGCAUGAUCAGAAGGCAGAUGUCUGAGCACUUGAUUAAUUUCAUCGUGUUGUGUGUUUUUUAUUUUUGCCCCUAGUUGUAUAUUUUUUAUUUAUUUCUCCUCUUCUAAUAAAAUUUCGAUAAUUCUCUUAGCGUCCGUAAAAAAAAAAUACAGAUUAUGACAUGGUCCUUUGUAUUCUGUCUUUUUCUCCACUACUGGCUUUUGCCAUCGAUCUGAGUGAGCACGGCGAGACAAUGGUUGGUGCCCUGGUACCUGGUGUGGUGAUUUGCACUAGUUGUAUACUUGUUUCAUUGUAUGCACGAGAGGGAGCGGCGUGGGCCCAGCGACUGCCUGCUUGGCAGGCACUGGUACUCGCCGGGCCGGCAAAGUUAAGGGCCCUUCCCGUGCCACCGACGACACCGCGGCGCUCACCUGCGAGUUGCGGCCGGCCGAAAUCCACCUGAGUGCCGUGCCACUGCCGCCGGUCGGCCGGUGUGAUGGCAGUAGGGCCGCGGCUGCCGUUCCCUCGCACGGAGAAGAGGCAGGGAGCACGGAGCACUCCGUAUUGGAUACGCGACCUGGACCCUGUCUCCGGCCUAGAGCGAUAUUCAUGUGCCAUUGCGCGCGCUUGUACGCUGAACUAACGUGCGCCGGGACAUGUCUUUUUAUCCUGACUGGAUGUGGCCGAGUUGAUCGCAGCGUUUAAUGACGGCCCAGGGGGAAAUGCGGAAGGAGCAUUCUUUCCGGGCCUCUGCUUCGGCCCCAAAUGCCAUACGGGCCAAAAUAACGGCCCGCCCAAAGGCGGUGCAGACAACACAACCCUCGGCUUCCUUUUACUUUUGGGCCAAAAUCACUCCCACCGCGGCAUCCUUUUCCUUUUCGUACGCGAAGUAGUACUCAGUAAUUACUGUACGAAGCCAGCAGCGAUUCAUCGAAUUAGUGACUGCUCGCUAAAAAAAUAUAGCUCCACUUCGCCAACUCAAAAAAAAUGAAAGAAGAAGCUAUAUACAUAUUUGCAUAUUUGGCUAUCAGGUGCAAAUCCAGCACUAAAAAAUUAUAUGAAUGGGUGGGAAUAGUCGUUGUUUACAGCAUCGCGAUUGCUUUAUCUUUUUCCAUGCAAGAUUAUCGUAUUCAUAUUGCUACAGUACCUGUUGCCGUAUUGCUUUAUCUUUUUCCGUGCAAGAUUAUCGUAUUGGACAACAUAGACAACAUUGUUCCAAUUAAAAAUAAUAUUCCUAGGUAACACCAAAUGAUAAUACAAAAUCAAUCACCCUAAAAUUAACUAGUUCCAAGCGAAAGCGUGGUGGCCAACUUAUUUUUCUCGAACACGCAGGAGAGCUGCAUAUCAUUACAUUAAUAAGAGAAGAAAAAAUCAUACAGAGACCCGAACACACACCCCACACGCUUAGAACCUUAAGAUCCUAAUCACCUUUUACAUGAAAAAAAA
rnacentral:lncRNA from 1 species